rnacentral:lncRNA from 1 species
GUGUUUAAUUUUCAUUAUGUAGUUUUCCAUUUUUCAUAUAUCUAAAAAUAAAUUUUAUCGAAUAUUUAGUGUGCAUUUAGUUCAUAAUCAUAUAUACGUAAUCCCAAUAGAAACAAAAAUACAUUGAUAGAUUGCAUUGAACGUCGAUCCAUAGCAUAAACACUUAAGAGCUACAUACAAAUAACUCUCAACUAUUAUUUCCUUCUCCACCAACAUCAUUAUUCAACCAUCAAGCAUAUACGUCGUCGUUGCAUUCAUCUCCGCGCUCCUCAAUAAACACUGUCAAAAAAACAUAAUCAACAAAAAAAAAUACAUUAGCAAACUGCUUAAUAAAAAGCAAAAAGAAUUAAUAAGAUAUAAUUAUAAGAGUCUCAAUCUAUUCGGACAAAAAAAAGGUAUAGUUACGAGUUGCAAUCGGUGUUGGGGCUGAUCUCGUAAGGAAUGUGGACCCCACAUUGGCCGGGGAGGGCACUGGCAAGCGGGACCUGCAAGCCAGGGACACCGGCGGCGGCAGUCUUCAAGCACUGGCAAGCCUGCCGGCGGUCAGCGGUGGUGACGGCGGCGUUGUUCAGGGCCCUCACGCCGCUGCAGCAAGGAGCAGAGACCUGCCCGCCGCCGACCAAGUAAUAGACGCAAGGGGACAGGCUGCUCAUUACUUGCAUGCACGUGAUGGCGCCGUCGGUCGGCCUUAUCGGUGCAGACAUGACAAGGAUGGAGACGACGAGGAAUGACGUAGUCGGCAUCGUCAUCUUCAGAGCGGCAGCCAUUGUUGGAGGUUUAAUUUGGGGAGGUAAGUGAGUAAGGCGAGGUUAUAAGGUCUGUGCUCUUAUAUAUAUAUAGAGAGAGAGAAUUACGAGAGUAAAAAAGAACUCGAUUAGUUUUGAUUCUAACCAAACCGGUUGAUGAGUGGCUGAUUUCGAUUCGGUGGGGUGGGGUUGUUAAAACGUCACUAAGUUGAUUGGGGUCCAGGCAAUUAUGAAUUUGCCUAUUGAGGGUUGAAAUGCCGGUUUAAUACAUGAUGCCUAAUGUGGGCAAUUCAUGACUGGUACUUGAAAUCGUCUAGAGCGAUGUCGGUUAUAUAUAGUACUCUGACAAGUAAUUCAACUACCAGUCAUAAAUUAACUAUGAAUGAGAAGUAAUUCGAAAUCUAAAAGUGAUUUUCCGUUUAUAUUCUCUUGUAUCUAUAAGAAAAACUCACUAAAAAUUUCUACAAUCAUGCCCUCACCCUCACUCUCUUAAUGUCCAGUUAGCGAACUGAUUUUAUGGAGAGAAUCGAAGACUUUCGAUUAAAUCCAACCAAAUCGUUUUACCUUUGCAUUUUCCAACAAUGUUUGCACAUAAUUGAGUUAAUAAUAAGUAAUAAUCAUAUAUGAUCUGUCAAUAACACGUACAUAAUUUUUCAAUCUAGCGAUUCACAUUCAUUGGUCACACAAACACAUUACUCACUGUUUCACUUUGAAUUGAAUUAAUAAACUGCGAAUUAAGAUUAGUCUAAAUGUUUAAAUUUUUUUUGAAGAUUUUAAAUCAGAAAUUUUUUGGAGAACCCUUUUUUAAAUAUCAAACUCGUUUUCAAAUAGUUUCUAACUCAAACAGAAAAAUUUGGUCCGAUUUUAACAACACAACCCACAAAUGAAAAGACACAUUAUUAUUUAUUCAUUGCAAGAUACGAAAACACCGACAUAACAAUAUAACCAUCAUCAGUCGAUAUUAUUUUGUAUACAUAAGUAAUCAUUUAUUAUUUGUUCGCAUCACUCUCUUAUGUAUAUAGUUCACAUAAGCUAUCGCCACUACUAAUACGGCGCCGCUUCCUUCUUUCCCCGUUGACUACAUUCCUCACUGCACACUGUCCAAAUUCCAAACAAACCAAAAACAGAGUAAUUAGUAGCAAGGUCCAAUAUCUACGAUGCUUCAAUGUACAUACUACAUCGAAAUAUAUUGAAUACGAAAUGUACCAAAUCACAUAUAUCUCUCACUAGCAAAUCACUACCGAAACUAGAGGUAGGCUACUAAUCUAGAUUACGAGCGAUGGAAUUCUACGUAAAUGUCUUGAAAUUUAAAUUUCUAUGGAAUUCUUGGAAUUGACCUUCAAAUUUGAAAUUUUAUGAGAAAUAGUAAUACGUAGGUGUUGCAGUUGGUCCUGGUGCUGACCUUGUACGGGAUGUUGACGCGACAAGCACGCGGCAUGUUAGCGGCGUUGGCCUCACUCAGGCCGGAGAUCCCGGCAGUGGCGGACUUCAGACACUAGCAAGCCUGCCGGCGGUCCGAGGUGGUCCUAGCCUGACCAAUGAGGGUCCUUAUUCCAUUGCAGCAUGCCUGUGGGACAGUCCCACCGGACUUCAGGUAGUUAACGCACGGGGCCAUAUUGUUCGCAACCUGGCCGCACGUGAUCGCACCAUGGCGCAGACCAAGAGCACAGUAACCAGCUUCAUUGCACUCGCAGCCAUUGUUUUGUUAAACGUACGUAGGAAAAGCUUAUAGAAGUUGUGUGUGUAUCGAGAAAUGGGAGUUAAGCUAGGGUUUAUAUAGUGUGGGGAGGAGCUUGGGUGAUGCGCUGGAGGUGAAGACUAAAAGGGGAAGAUGAAAAGUGGAGAUCGUAGGUGGUGGGUCGGUCGACGGUAAGAAAACAGAACCUAGAACACAACCACCCGGAUCGAAAAUGAAGGCAUUCCAGUCGCAGAGCUUUGACGCAGAGAACACUCCGGAAGCCUUCAGCCAGAUCCCCAUUGUCGAGAAACUCUUCCCGCAAACGAACUCAGCCGGUUUUUCCUCGGCCUUAAAUAUUCCCGCAUUCCUUUCAAGUCAAACAAACCACAUAACAACGUGCAUGAUUAGCUUUGUUGCUUCGCCAAACUUGGAGAGGCAGUUCAUUCCUUUCCAAGACGAGAUGACAGCCUCAAUCGACGAAAGCAUCACGUGCAAGGAGAGUUUUGAACUAACUCUGUCCCAAACAACCAUAGCGAAUUUACAUCGUAAGACAAUAUGAUCCACCAUCUCGACAUCUUUCCGGCACAACACACAACAGUUUGCAAGCUGAAACCCGCGCCUCUGAAGGUUGUCCAAAGUGGCAGCCCUGUUAAGGAACACCUUCCAGCAAAAACCUUGAACCUUUGGUGGAGCGCUCUGUUCCCAAAUCAUCGCAAAAGGGAAAUCUGCCCGCCCCGAAAACUUCUCCCGAGUAAGAGCCUGUCGCAUAGAUCUGAUGGAGAACCUCAAAGACGCUUCCAAAGACAAAACAAUCGAGCUUGGCCCUGCUGUAAUAUGGUCUUCAGGGAUACUUGUCAGGCGCUGUAAAAGACGAUGAACCCCCACAAUGGCGCCCCCUCUGAGGGUAGUAGUGAGGGGAAUAUGCCACAACCGCCUGUUAUCAAAAGUACAGAGAUCAGAAACACAAACUUCUAAGGAUUGUGUAGCUGCAUCAAUCUUUGGAUACUCAUCCAACAACCUCACUCCCAAAACCCAAAAGUCAAAUAAAAAAGAACAUAUCCCACCCCCCAAAUCGAUAGAGCAGAAAUUCCAGAACUGUACUUGUAGACACAAUAAUAAUUGUCUUUGAUAACAUUUAUCCAACAUCAUCAAUCAUUAAAGCUUUGUGUUGUUUUUCGAGGUAUCAAAGUAUUUUCCAUAUAUAUAACGUUAGCUUAAUUAUAUAUAACUUAGAUUAAUCAGAUUAUAUAUUGAUUCUCACGUUUGGUUAAAAAAAAAACUUUUGAAAUAUGCAUGGAUUGUUAACAUGUUUUAAAAAAGUAAUGAUAUAUUUUAGUAUAUGGUACUAAAGGAAAAAUAUUAGUAAAAUUUCCAUGAAAAAAUUAUAUAUAAGAAAUUUUUUUCUAUAUUUGAGUGAUCACUUAAACCAAUUUGGUAAAAAUCUAGAUGCUAUAUGUCGCCCUUGCCAAGGGGAGAGAAACUGAGAGCAGUCGUUGUCUCUGUACUCCUCAAUAUUCACUCCUGGAUGCAGGCGGGAUGGAAGUAGUGGUCACAGCUGAGGACUGCGACCAACUCUUCGUCCCCGAAGGGUUCCAGGCAAAACGAACAUACCUUUUCUGCCUCACGGCCAGGGACUAUUUCCCUGGCUUCACGAUACGCCAUAUAUCUGAUCGGUCGCCGUGAUCGUCAUCUACGAGGAAGAGGAGGAGGAGUGAGCUCUAGCUCGAACUCUGGUGGCACAGGAUUAGGUCGAGUCAUCUUCCACGCGAUUGCACUAAAGAUCCCGAGCAUCACGGCUGCGAUCACAACAACCGCCGCCGUUUGGAGGGUGGUUAAAUUGGCAGGGCUUUGCACCGUGGCCCCAUUGCCAUUGAAACUGGGAGCAAUGUUUGACAUGAUCAAGAGUGAACAACUAUAAGAUCUAAUGCAGAGAAGAUUGAAGAGAGUACGUUGCAGUGGGGAAGGUAGGGAAUUUUGCUAACUGACUAGUUUUGGAUGAUAGAUCAAAUCGAACAAUACUCUUGUAAAUUAAUUGGUAAAUUAAUUGGUAGCUUUUGAAAUAUACAAAUAGUACCUAAUAAAAAAUAAACGAAUGGUACCAUUUAAAAUCGAACAGAACUCUUUUAGGAAGAAGAGUUUGAGACGAUGUUUAUAACGUGUUAUAUGCAACAUCGACAAAGUAGACAGAUUGAGGAGGACGGACGACUAAUGUCCAUUCGGAAGAUGUGCAGACGUGAGUAGAAUAGAAAGGUUGCAGGCAGUUUAAUGAAUGUCUCUCGAAUAACCUAUACUGUAUCGAUUAUUGAAUCGACAUAUCGUAGUGCACGACAUGAGUUGCGUUUGGCAUGAACCAAUUGGCCUCCAUAAAUUGGUUUCUCUAAAUUUCAACCAUCUGACAUCCACGAUAGUCAACAACCAAACAAUAAACCUAAACAACAUUGCAUGCUGACUGUGUAUCUAAAUCCCUGGUUCAUUAUCCUACUCAACAAGCCGUCAUCCACGUCAUUAAUACUUACGAUUCCAUCAAAUCUUAGUUAACGGACCAGACGGAGACUGAAAAAACUGUGCUAUAAAAUGUAUUUUCAAUAAAAUCGAGUCAUUUUCUGUAAUAUUGUUAUAGGUUAGGCUUCUUAAGUAAGAUUAUUAAAAGCCAAAUUAAAAUUAACAGGGAAAAGAUGGUAUCAUCGAGGAAGAAUUGCAAAACCACAGAACCAAAGGGAGAGAAAGGUAAAUUUCACGAAGAACAGAAAUAUUCGUAGAACUCUUCCAUUUCAUCGUCGACUUCAUCAUCGCCGGAAACCGCAAAGGCCUACUUUCACCGUCGUUUGUUUUUCCCUCGUUCGAUCGAAGUUCAUCUCAAUCUUCCUUGAUUCCCCCGUUGCUCUCGACGACGUGAUGGUUGUGCCGUCACAUCCAACGCCGACGGUUACUUCCAGAGCCGUAUUCGCGUCGUUUUGAUAUAUUACUGUUUAUCGCUUUGUUUUGUCUUUACUUUGCGGCAUGGGAGAUCUUCGACCGUGGUCACCGGAACUUAAUGGCGACGUUGUCGAGGAAAGGCCGUCGUCCUCGUCUUCUUUUUCUUCGUUUUCAUCGCCGCCGCUGACGAUUGAUGCGGCGAACUGGAAGAUUGCUGAGGCGGCGACGCAGCUUAUCAUAGCGAAAGUUCAGCCUACUAAUGUCUCGGAGGAGAGGAGAAAAGCUGUUGUUGAUUACGUCCAGCGUCUGAUUAGAAAUUCCAUUGGCUGCGAGGUGCAUUACUUGUUGUUUCUCUUCAUUUACUGACCUGUUAUCAAUAAUUUUGUUGCUGUAUCAUGUAUCUAAGUUCAUGAAUCGAUGGAGCAGUAGGCAACAGUUGAACUGAUUUCGGUUUGGAGUUAACAAUUUCGGAGGAUGUAAUGGUUUAGUUUCCAGUACUUGACAAUGCUGAAGAGUUGGGAAGUCCAGCAUUUGCCAUAUCAUGACAAUAAUCUAAGAGUUAGGGAGAACUGAUGUAGGUGGCUCUUCAUUGACAUUGUGAAUGGAUGAAUGUAGAAGUUCUGUAUCUGUUAGCUAUUCUGUUGUAGAAACGUUUUGAUUGUGUUAUACUGACUUAUACUUGGUACAGGUGCUCCCUUUUGGGUCAGUGCCAUUGAAAACUUAUCUUCCUGAUGGGGAUAUCGAUUUGACGGCCUUUGGUGGUCUGAAUAUGGAGGAAUCACUUGCCAACGAUGUGCGAUCGAUCCUCGAGUUAGAAGAUCAUAACAAGGCUGCAGAGUUUGUUGUAAAAGAUGUGCAAUUGAUUAGGGCGGAGGUAUCUCAUACAAUUCAUGUUCAUGCUGGGAUAUACAUUGUCUUUCUUGCGUGUAUCGUUUCUCUUAAAAAGGGAACACUGUAAUUUUGCGAGGCUCGUAAUGAAUCUUGCCGUAAUUGGACUCCUAUGCUUGUGUUCUAUGCUUUAAUAGGAUUUCUGUUCUUUUCUUCUUUUUAUAACUGUGUUUAGUUAUGAUCUGAUUCCUUAAGAAGUUGGACCACCAGAUCAACUGAUAUGUUUAUUUGCCCUUAGGCGUGCGAACUUUUUUCUGUUAGUACUGAAGAUGCAGCUGAUGUUUCGUAUGUGAUCUUUCCAUGGUUUAACUUUUCUUGGGCUUGUUAUAUUGUGUUUCUCCUGUGCAGGUUAAGCUCGUAAAAUGCCUGGUGCAGAACAUUGUUGUUGAUAUUUCCUUUAACCAAUUAGGAGGUCUCUGUACUCUAUGCUUUCUUGAGGAGGUAACUUUUUGAACUUUGAUUCUCAUAGGAGUGUUUUUCGCUAUCUCUUCAAAUAGUCGGUUUCUGCCUUUCUGGUAAUUUGAUCAUUAUGAUUAACCUAUUCCCUCUCAUUGGAGUCAAGCACUACCUGCUCGUGGAUUCACAUACGCUGACAUGCUCUAUAAAUAAUAAAAGUUUGUAGCUGAAGAUUCUAUUUUUAACGUUCAGAUGCUUUCUUUGAUUAACUGCAGGUAGACCGCCUGAUUGGAAAGGAUCAUCUUUUCAAACGAAGCAUUAUACUGAUCAAGGCAUGGUGCUAUUACGAAAGCCGCAUUCUUGGAGCACACCAUGGCCUAAUAUCUACAUAUGCUUUGGAAACAUUGGUUCUUUAUAUAUACCAUAUCUUCCACUCGUCACUAGAUGGUCCAUUGGCUGUGAGUCUUGUGAUAGCUUAUAUGGGUUUGCAGCAUUAUUUAUUUGGAUUUAGUUCCUGACAAUAUUUUUUUGUAGGUUUUGUAUAAAUUUCUAGACUAUUUUAGCAAAUUUGACUGGGAAAACUACUGCAUUAGUUUGAAUGGCCCAGUCCGAAUAUCCUCAUUGCCAGAAGUUGUAGGUGAGAAUAUAUCAACUACCCUAUGUUUCUUAAGUCGCUUUGCUUUUCUACUGAACAGAUUUCUUUGUUGUUUUUUGCAGUUGAUGUCGCUGACCAUGGUGGAUGUGAUCUACUGCUGAGUCAUGAGUUUAUCAAAAAGUGCGUGGACAGGUUUUCUGUUCCUUUUAGAGGAUCUGAGACAAACUCACGUAUGUUUCCAACGAAGCAUCUCAACAUUGUUGAUCCCUUGAAAGAAAACAAUAACCUUGGUCGGAGUGUGAGCAAAGGUAGAAAUUGGUCUAUUUCUUGUUUGAUUUCCUUCUUCUUAUCCUGCUGUCUACUAGAUUCGGAUAUACCUUAUUAUAAAUAAGUUUUAAUCCCUGCUGUCUCUGCAGGGAACUUUUACCGGAUAAAAAGUGCUUUCAGCUAUGGAGCUCGAAAGCUCGGUCUGAUUCUUUCGCAGCAAGAAGAAAAUGUAGCUGAUGAACUCUGCGGGUUUUUUUCCAACACUCUGGAUAGACAUGGCAAUGGUCAAAGACCUGAUGUUCAAGAUCCAUUACCCAUGGAUGGACACCAUGGACACAGUACCAGGUCAGCAUCUUCAGGUAAAGAAACUGGCCAAGACCACCAGAGAAAUUCUGAAGCAAGUGGCAAAAAUGGCAUCAGUGUUAAGUUAUCAGAUAUGGGAGCGAAAUGCAGCAAAGACACCACUGAAGCAGGCAAAAUGGAAAAUGGUAGUUUGUUUUCUCACCACCGUCUUUCCGGUGAUGCAGAAGAUCUGGCAUCUGCUAGAAUUCAACACCUUUCCAUUUCCGGCGAUGGACUGAUACAUUCUAGUACAAAAACUGAGAGCCCCACGAAAGAAGUGCAACUACGUCAUGCACCAGAUCUCAAUUUCACUGGUGACCAUGUUGUGUUGUCCCCUGUUGGAUCAUCAGUUGGAUUUCCUUCUGAAAAUCAUCAACCUGGUCAUUGUAGUGCUGGAAACUUCGAUGCCCUAGACUCUCUUUCAGAUCUCAGAGGUGAUUAUGAAGCUCACCUCCUUAGUUUGAGCCAUGGCCGGUGGUGCUACGAAUACGUACCAACUUCUCCAGUUCCGCCUAUAUCUCCAGUAAUGUUCAGUCCGGUCCAGAAAAAAAAUUAUUGGGACGGAACGAGACGACCGGCUCAUUACAGGCAGAAUCUCAAUGGAGUAAGUCCGAGGCCUGUGCUUAAUUCGAUCAAUCCACCCUUUCUGCACGGUCCAAUGUUUGCUAUGGAAGAGGUAUCGAAGCAACGAGGAACCGGGACAUACUUCCCAAAAGUGGUAUGCUUUUUUGAGUUCGAAAUUUGAAUUUUUAACGUUGAAACUCUGUCUUGGUUGGUCUUAUUGUGAUUUGGCUGCUUAUAACUGGUUUUUGUGAUAAACGUUGCAGAACCAUUACAGGGACAAGUCUUUGACGCCGAGGGGAAGUAGUCAGGUGUCACUACGGUCUCCUCGUACCAAUGGCUGUAUCGCUACUUCUCAGGAGCCUAACUUUUCAGAAAGAAGCAGAGGGCAGCUAUGUCCAGGUUCUGCUGUUGGACCGGAUACACUGCAGUCAAAACCUCCAGCCGUUGAAAGGUAACGGGUUAUAAACUUUAAAGUAGCGACAAGCAUCAACUUGCAAUGGAUUUCUGCUGGACUUAGUUGCAUUCAACUUUUUAGACCUCCCAAGUCGUAUCAACUUUUCAAGACGCAUUCGAUGAUUUCUCGCCAUUAUCAGCUUUGCUAACUCGAAAAAGCUGCUCGAGCUGGCUGACAUUCGGUUUCGGGUUGAUUCGAAUGUCUCUGUUAGAGUGAUUUAAUGCUGGUUUGAAGUAUAUGGAUAGAAAGUUAUAUGGAGUGUAGGGUUUGUUUGUAUGUAUAGUAUAUGGAUUGUAAUUGUAUAAUUUUGGGAGCCGAGGUUGAUAUAGAUAGAGCAAUAGAUUCUAACUCUGUGAUGUAAACUUAAAACUGGGGGAUCAGUUGUAUGUUGUUGUUUUGUUGAGUAGAACUAGAAUCUGUUGAUUUUGAAGCAAGUGGCUGGAAAAUGGCUAUCUUUAUUUCUCAGCCACCCUAAUAGUGAAGCCAUCACAAGAAUCUAAGGCCGACAUCAUUGUGAUGAUGAUGAUGAUGGGAAAUGGUAAGUUUGUGUCAUCAUUGUGUCGGUUGAGUACGAGUUGUGGUUCGAUUUUCAACAUCCACUUUAGACACGCGAGCAUUAAGAAGUUUGGUAUUCAAACGAAAGCUCAACCCCGAAAUUUGGACUGCUAUUUUACAGGUCUCGUCUGGACUGUAUCGAAGAUCAUUUCAUUCUGGAAAUCUGUUACUAUAAUAAACUCUUAAACUAUGGCGACUGUGACAUCGUUGGCGUGGUCACAACCUACUACAAUUAACAAAAGAGUUGAUUCAUGUCAAUUCAACCUUGGUGUCCGUUCCUAGUAUGUACAAAAAGGGACGUUUAAGAAAGGGUAGUAAAGGUAAAAGUAAAGAUGAAAGUGACAAUAGGUACUGAAAUCGAAAGACAAAGUUGAGUUUGAUUUGUUUUGUUCCAUUGUCCAGCCUCACAUCAGCGGAAUCCAAUUCAAAGCCAGAGGUUGGACGGGAUCUGAUGGGCGCUAGUUGAUCCGCUUGGUUAACCGGCAAACAUGUAAUAUUUUUGCGACAAGAUUCUCCGAUUUAUUCACAUGAGGUUUUUGUUUUUCUCCGAUCCUGUAGUACCCGACGGCAACAUUUUCCUGAUUUAUAUUGAGAAAGUGCAAGAUAGAGGUGCAAUUCUUCUCUAAUCGAUUUUCAAACUAUUUGAUCGUUUUAGUAACAAAAUCGUCAAUUAUUUAAUUUAGUAUCUUGUUGUUGCUGCCAACACACGCCAAAAAUACCAAAAGAAACAUUAUCCAUGACUGACUACUGCAUUAACAUAUAUAUAUACGUAAGCAUAGCAGGCUUCCCCCAUGGCUCUGCCAAUGUCACGCCACUUGCUAUAUAUAUAUAUUCCAACUUCUCUAUAAUCUUGUAUACAACUAAUGGCAUUUUGUGCCCGAUUCUAGUUAAAAUUUUGAGCUAUUGUGAUUGUUCUUUUCUAAACAACUUCUGAAAUUGUGUCGUGUUAGCUAGUUAUCUGCAUCCUCACCCUAGCGUAACAAACUAACUACAUAUUGGAAGUCGAGGUGCAUAUAUAUGUAUGAUUUGGUACACUUUCCUUGAAGUUAUAUAGAUAUAUGUCACAACAACCCUCAACUAUACAUAGUUAAUCGCACAUGUGUUCAUCAAGUAGAUGAAUAACAGCAUUAUCCGGCCCAAUCUUGGACUAAAUCCCCCUACAACUGCUUGUCCCAUCUGUGGAUUAACUGAGCCGUUUUGAGUUGAGGGAUUAUCCAUUCUGAAGAUACAUUGUUACAUAAAUCAGUAUAUUUUUGUGUCAGAGACCAAAUUCAAACAUUUAACUUAACUUGAACUAAGUGGAAAUUCUUUUCCUUUUUAUAACUGCAAACUAGCAUACGUGCUUUUAUAUUAUCGUGGAAACAAUUAAGAAUAUACACCGUAUGAAGGGUUCCUGUGAGGUGCAAUCUACAAAUAGGUCAUAUCGAGGAGGUAUCUAACCAAAAAUUAAGAUACAUCACAUCCUACAAAUACUUCUCAUAACUAAAUCAAAACUAUACUAUUAGCUCAUAACACUAGAUACUAAAAACACUAGAUAUGAAAAAAACAAGACCCUACCGGAAAUAGAAAAUGGAAAUUCUUUUAAUUUAGAACUCGAUCAUGAUUCAUUUUUCAUACAAAAUGUCGAAAUUAAAUACAUAUAAAAUCUAAAAUUAUAUACAUUUUGUGUAUAAUUAUUACCGUAUAAAUUUCGAUUGACCGAAAUCCUAACUACGCCACCAAACGGGAAAUGAACACUACUACAUAAAUUUUAUGAGUGAGCUUGAUUGCUGUUACAUGCACUCCUCCCAUUCCAAUGACGAUAAGAACCAGUAAACCACCGGCAUACACAGUGCUGCCACGUGUACAUAAAUACUGAUUUUAUAUUUAUUGCGUCAGCAGUUGCUUAAGUGGAAGAAAAAAAAAACAACCAUGAUUAGAAUUGAUGACAAAGCAACAGUGCCAAAUCAGCAACUUGACCCCUUUACUUUUAUAUUUCAAUUCCAAUAAUCAAUUGAACCGGUCUCAUUCACCUUGUGUCAACUCACCCUCCUGGCCGCUCGAAUAUAUCAUAGAAGCCAAAUUCUUUGUUUAAACCGAUUUGUUGAACCGAAUUGCACCUCAAAUCGGACGAACGAGAAGUUCAAGAAUCGAUGGUUCAAUCAAGUUUAGAGACUACAAAAGUAGUAUAGAUUCAAAUGGUUUUGAAGGUGUUAAUGAUUCAAUUAUAACAAUUUAUAAGGUUUUUUAGAUAAGUUUUUUAAGGGGCAUAUCAAUCAGAAAAUUUAAAUAUUUCAACAGAUUUGAAAUUAAAUUAAAAUGGCACAUAGUUUUUAACUUAUCCACAAAAUUAUCAUUCUUUAUUUAUCUGUCAUCCGAAUAUAAACUUGUCACUAGUGCAAAAUUUAAGAGUUUUUAAUUACAAGUGAGAUAUAUAAUUGGUAAAACUAAAUCAUGAUAUGAUUAAUGAACAUUAUGUAUAGCAUCAACUUCAUAAGUAAAUAGCUUUUGAUCGAUAGACAAAAUUACGUAUGCUUGAUUCGACAACACAAUUAAUUUUUUCCUCAAAAGUAAGUAAAUGAAAGUUGAGUCAAAGUUCAAAAAACUACAAACAUAACGUAGGAUGGAUUCUGGUCGAAAAUUCUACCGACCCAAACUGUGCAUCAUUUAUCCUGAUUGAAACAGGAAACCAUGGAAAAUCAAACCCAAAAAACCAAACAAGCCAAAACCAAAACCUUAAAGGAAAAAAAACAGAGGCAUGAUUCAUCCGUUGAAUAAAACUGACAUUAGUUUAUCAAUAAUGAUUUAAAUACAUUGGGCAGUAAUCAAGCAGACGUUUUUCUAUUCCAAUCUCCCAACUCUCACCUUCCACCCUUGCAUCCCGUUGAAUUUGCUUUGAUUGUUCGCCGGCGCCGGAGGAAACAAACCAAAAACAGAAAAGCUUCAAACUUCUUCCCAACCCUGUUCCUGAAAAUCAGAUGGUGAUACCAGGAAUCGGCCACAGGUUCUUCAAGUUCAGAAUCCCCGAUCGUCUCCUCUAAAAAAUUCCCAACUUCUCCACAAAGAUUCCUCCUUUUCUCACGGCGGUUUGUUUUCCGGCAAGGGGACAGAAAGAUGGUCGCGAAGAGCUACGACGGCUGCGUGCGGGGAAAAAUGAGGAUGGCGUGGAUAAUGCUGAGCGUUGAUUACUGGAGGCUGUUUCGUAUACUGUUCGGCGUCUUUUCCUACGAGAAUCCCGAAGGGAAGCCUCGGAUCAUCUUCCUCUAGCUAUAACCCCCCCAGUUGUUUCAUUUUUAGGAUAUUAGGAUUCCAAAUUUGUCUCUACCGCUACUAAUACUACUAGUGGAAAUCAAUUGUGUUUGUUUUAUAUAAAAAGCACACUCAAAGACCCGAUCUUUGUUCCUGAUUGAGUGAAGAAAUGCACAAUUCUAAGCUGCUGAUGAUGCAACACCAUGGAUACGCUGAGACUGACCCUUCUGGUAGAUACGGCCGUGUAAGUUCUUUUCGUUUCUAUCAUUUGUUACUUCUGCUGAUGGUUGUGUAAGCUGUUGGAAAUGAUCGAUAUAGCACGAAUUUCGAAUUUUUGGGUUGUGAUUGUGUCGUAUUUGUCUGUACGUUGCGAGAUUUUGCUGUUUCGAAUAGUAUAUAACUGGUUACACAUAUAUAGCAGAAUCUAGGAGGAAGAUUGAGAAACUAUGCUAUCUGAUGUUGGGUAGCCUGUUCGAAAAGGACAGAUAUGGCAGGAAUUUUCGGGUUUCUCGGGUUGUAAUUCUGUCGUAUUUUGUCAGUAAAUUGCGAGAUAGGGUUCGAAUUGGAUAUGAUCAUGUGCUUAGCCUAAUGGAACGUUCAUGUACUAGAAAAUGAUGUUUGAGCUGACUGUCAAAUGUUCCUGCUAAAAAAUGACAGAUAUGGCACGGAUUUUGGGGUAUUCGGGGUGAAAUUUUGUUGUAAUUGUGUCUUUAAGUUUGCGCGAUUUUUCAAAUUGAGUGUGAUCAUGUGUUUAGCCUAGUUGAAUCUAUUUACUGGAAAAUAAUGUUUGACCUGACUAUCGAUUGUCAGAAUGUAGAUGAGAAAUGAUAUGAACAGGAAGUUUCAGAGAUUUGGUUUCUGGUCCAAUUGUGAUCAGUGAGCAAACCGGUUUCGGUUUUAUGAUUGAUGUUCUUCUGUUACUGCAGUUCAAGGAGGUUCUUGGGAAAGGUGCGAUGAAGACCGUGUACAAGGCAUUUGACGAGGUACUUGGAAUGGAGGUAGCCUGGAAUCAAGUGAAGCUCAACAAUGUAUUUCGCUCGCCUGAUCAUUUGCAGAGGCUCUACUCAGAAGUUCAUCUCCUGAAGAAUCUCAAGCACGAAUCCAUCAUCAAGUUCCAUGCUUCGUGGAUCGACAGUACUCGAAGGACGUUCAACUUCAUCACUGAGAUGUUCACCUCCGGCACCCUACGAGAGUAAGUAAUACAGACAAACGCAUAUAAUAAGCCGAUCUGAUGCUUCCGGUGUGAUUCUGCAUUUCUGAUAAGUGAUGUUGUUGCAGGUACAGAAAGAAGUACCAGAGAGUAGAUAUCCGAGCAGUGAAGAACUGGUCGAGGCAAAUCCUGCACGGACUUGUUUAUCUGCACGGCCAUGACCCGCCUGUGAUCCAUAGGGAUCUCAAAGGUGAUAACAUCUUCAUCAACGGCCAUCUGGGACAGGUCAAGAUUGGCGACUUGGGAUUAGCAGCGAUUCUUCGAGACUCGCAACACGCGCAUAGUGUCAUAGGUACUCCCGAGUUCAUGGCACCGGAACUAUACGAAGAAGAGUACAACGAGCUCGUAGAUGUAUACUCAUUCGGGAUGUGUGUUCUGGAGAUGCUAACUUCUGAGUAUCCCUACAGUGAAUGCUCGAAUCCCGCUCAAAUCUACAAGAAAGUGACCUCUGGGAAGCUGCCCGAGGCGUUCCACAAGAUCAAGGAUGCUGAAGCGAAGAAGUUUGUCGGGAAAUGUCUCGAGCCUGCUUCGAAGAGAUUAUCAGCUAAAGAGCUACUCUUGGAACCGUUUGUAGCACUUGGUGAUGAACCAGAAUUGCUACCAGUCUCAAAGUUUUCGUCUUUUCGAAGCUCCCCGGCUUCUAGCUGUGAAAGUGAGGAGAUGAUGAUGACGACAAUGACGAUGAUGAUGCUGUCUUUGCAGGAUGAUCAUCCUGAAACUACGGAUAUGACGAUUACAGGAACUCUGAACCCUGAACACGACGCUGUUUUCCUCAAAGUCCAGAUUUCUGACUGCAGUGGCAUGAAACACGUUCCAUGCUCUCGUUUAUAAUUCUGUUCUUAAAGUAGUCAGAAUUCUGAUUUUGAUCUUAAAAUCAAUCUUAUUUAUUUAUUCUGUUGAUAUAUUUUGAUUAGUUUUUAAUCUCUCUUGACUGUCCAUUUUCAGGGCAUACCAAGAACAUACAUUUCCCCUUUGACAUAACUGGAGACACAGCGAUCGAUGUUGCGAUGGAAAUGGUGAAAGAGCUGGAGAUCAGUGACUUGGAACCAAUCACCAUCGCCAAGAUGAUAGAAGACGAGAUAUCUUCUUUAGCUCCGACAUGGAAACAACAAGGAACCUUCAUUUUCCACCAGCAGCAGCAUAGCUUUAGCUACGUGGAUGAUGCAGAAGAGGAAGAAGAAGAAGAAGAAAUCGGCAACCACAAAAAUUCGGAAGGAAUCUAUCAUCCAUUCUACUCGACCUCCCCUUCCUCGGACGCUUCCUCCUCCAACAGAGCUUCUCUGUUGGCCUUCAACAGCUCCUCCUCUGAGAGUCCACGUUAUGAGGAUUGCACUACACCAAUUGUCACUUUAGGUACACAUGGUCCAACUGUCUCCUAAAUGUUUUAGUAAAAAUUUGAGAUUAUAUAUAUAGUUGUUAAAUGGAUGGACGGCCUGAGUUACUUGGAUUACAAGUCAACAUGGUCAUAUGCUUCUCAAAAGGGUUAUGAACCAAUUGAGUUGUGGGUCCAUCGAGUUACACAGAAUUGAGUUUUGGACUUGUAACGUGGUCUUUGUGGAUAACCGUUGCAUCCUAAUAACUCGAGUUUUGGGAGAGAUUCAUAUAACCAUACCCUCAAAUGCAAGCUCAUGGAAGGGUACUGAAGUUUAUGUAGGUCCACCAAGUCUUGUACAAGUAAAAUGUUUAUAUUGAUGCCUAAGGAUUCGGUUAUGAUAUCAUAUGGAGAACCGUUGCAUCUCAAUAACUCGAACUGUUGGGAGGGGUUCAUAACUGGUGUAUAUACCAUUGGUUAACUCGAAUGACUUGUGAAUCGUUAACUUUUAGCCAAUUCUGUUACUCGGUUGAUUUAAGUGGAUUAAUCAGGUUCAGUCAGAUGCUGACAGCACUAAUUAUGGAUCGAAAAUGGGUAAAAAAAAUGCAGGGAAGCUGCUACAAGAUGAUGCAGAUGACUUGAGUUCGGAGAGCUCUUACAACUACUCAACAGUCUCUUACUGCUCCGGAAACGAAGACGAGCAUAAUCGGCCAGAAGAAGAACAAUCUAUAGCUAAGAUUGACCAGUCGGAAAGCUGCAAAGGAGGAGGGUGUAGGAUGAUGCCACCGGGGAGGAAGAAGAAGCUGAGCCGAAUACGAUCGGUGUUGGAUAUGAGAAGCCAGUUGCUGAACCGGUCGUGGGUGCAAGAGAUGAACAAGAAGCGUUUGUUCAAGACUGUGGGAGCAGUUGAGAACAUUGGAUAUCAUGACUGGAACCCUUCUGCUUCUUCCUGAUGAUGAUAAUGAUGAAAAAAAAAAACAAAACUGGGAUUUUUUUGCUGUGUGUUGUAAUUGGUGAAGUGUUCUGAAGAUAAGACUGUUUUGUCAUUGUGUUUUGGUGUGGUUUCAUAAUAAGCCAGAGAACAUUUUGGUGACAGAAUGACUUAGUUUAGAAUUUUAAGGUUGUGAUUGAUUUUGUUUGCAGAGUUAUAUUCAUUAUAGGGUAGAAAGUUCAUGUUGGUGUUUUGUCUGAGUAUGAGUUGUGUUUUUUUAUUCUACAAUGAAAGCUUAGGAGAUCCUUACUUGAUGGUUUCUGUUCUUUAUUCCCCUGAAGUAAAAUUGUAAUUUAGAGUCUUAGGGAUUAAUCUAGGAUGUAUAUAUUUUCGAAAUAACAAGGAUGACGAUUACAGGAUAUGGGUUCUAGACAGAUUAAUCUCUAACUUUAUUUCAUUUGCGUUAUUUCAUGCAUUUUAGGGGUCAGGUGACUGCAAUGUGUGGGUUUUUCAUACCUUUAUUGAAGGCAAUCAGAUUGCAGAUUUCGUUGCCCAACCAUGGACACUCAUUGCCUCUUGGUUCUUGCCGUCUUUCUACCAUUCCUCACGGCAUUGCAUGCUGAGUGUAGUAAGACCGACAUUACGAGUGUUACUUUCCUUCAUACCCGAUUACCAUACCAGAUACCCGAUUAUUCCAAAUUCAAAGAUCAAUUUGUCGAUUACGUUUCUGAUUCACUCUCAGAAUAAUUAUUUGAAAAAAUAGGACCAUAACUCUCUCACUACACUAACGCACCAUCGCGCAAAGUCAUCAACCACUAGGUCAUUCUUCCACAGAUAUGAAGGCAGAGGGUUAGCUGAAACGUAGCCAUCAUUUAGUCACACAUGCACUGUGAUUGUCAAAAAAAAAACACACUGUGAUGAGUGGUUGAUGCUGAGAUUCGAUUAGUUGGGGAAACCAAUCCCUUGAUUAAAGCCAGAAUAAUUGCAUGUGAAAAUGGUUAGUUGAGACGUCCAUAUAAUAUGAAAUUUUGCAAAUGGGUCCCUCAUCAAACAACAUCAGAUUUCGUUAUUACAAAGACAACACGAGAGAAUUGGAUUAGAGAAAGGACGACAUAUAUACAUGUCGAUCCUCCUACACUGACGUUCUAAUCCAAGCAUGUGGAUUUUCAUGCUAUGUUCAUCAGCAUAUAUCAACUAUUAAUUACUCAGAGGACCAAUUUGAGGUUUUGAAUUAAUUAUGGAUGAUUGUCUUUGCUCGAUAAAAAUUGCGAUCGAUCAUUACUUGAUUUAUUUUUCUAUUUUAUGUUAUAUUGGGAUAUCAACCCAAAUAUUAUAUCGAUAAGUUGGAUAUCUUUUAUGAAAGAAUUCAAAAACAAUUUGCGUCAACUUGGCUCAAAAUGUACAAUAGCAUAUUACUAUUUGUCUCGCCAAUAAACAACAUGUGUUGAGUGGUCAUGUCAUAUAUUUCGGUGUGAGACCUCUUUGAGUUUUGUCUUUAGAUAUACUUACUUAAAGGCAUUUUGUUUAGUUGUAGAGAUAAGAAUGGUCGAAGCUAAAAUCACUGCACGAGGCCUUUUGAUUAUAGUAGAGUGACAAAAUUUUAUGUAAAAAAUUUAAAUAUAUUAUCANNNNNNNNNNNNNNNNNNNNNNNNNNNNNNNNNNNNNNNNNNNNNNNNNNNNNNNNAAUAUAUAAAAUCUCCGAUUAUUCUAAUUUUGUUAUUGAAAACGAUUAUGAUGCACCCAUGUUAUUGUGAAUAGUGGACAUUUGGAUCUAUUUUUGACCACUAUGAAUGCUGUGACUUAAUGGAAGAUGAAUAAUGAUGUUGAAACUCAAUAAAACCUUUAUAACUUUUCAUUUACGAGACGUGGGUUGGCCAGAAAACGACACAUGUAAAAACAUCAAUGGUCCCAAAUUAUAAUACAUUGGACCUUUUCUUUGGUAUAAAAAUAUAUUGGACCUUAUUAGUUAGCUUUUCCCAUAUUGGCACUUUUGGGAUCAUCCUACCAGAAUGUAACUUUGGGAUUCAUAUGUAGAUUUUAUAACAUUCUAUUCGAUUUAGGUCCAAACAAUUGAUAUUUAUUUUUUAUUAAAUUAACAAAUCGCUCUAAAUGAAAUUAUGAGUUACUAAUAAUAAAUUUUUUUAUCAAAAUAGACCGCGACUUUCGGUCUAACUCCAAAUAAAAGACAAACUCAUAAUAAAACUCAUAUACUAGUACCAAUGUGAACGGAACCAAACAUAUAGAACAAAAAAUAUUCAUUACACGGCCGCCCACUCCUGACUGGAGACAACCGUAGAUUUAGGGACCAGAUUUGUUUGUCGCCGUCAUUAAUUUACUGCCACACGUGCACCUAUCCUAGUCAGUCUUAGUUUUUCCAGAAUUCCAAAUUUCUUCUUCUCCCGGCUGUUUGUCAAAAAUAUCUCGCAACACGACAAAACUUCAUCGCCGGAGUGGUAGUAAAUUCUAUUGUUAUUUUAAUAGGCGAUUUGAAUCCAACCAACCCGAUCAAACAUAAGUAUCUGUUUGCAGAUCUUUUGCUUGUAUAGAAACGAAAAUGUGCAUCUAACCGAUGAACUAAUGAAAUGGCUCGUGUAUUUGCUCUAAAAUAUUCUGGUCCACGAUGAUGUUAUUUAACCAAUGGAUACGUACUCAUGGUGAUCGAGAGGGAUUGGUGUAGACAAGCUAAGGUAACUGCAGAUUUCGAGAAAUGAAACGGUGACAAAAAAUAAAGAUAAAUAUUAUUAGUAUUAAAGAAUGAUUUUUCUCGUUCUGAUAUGUUUUACGAGUCUUUGAUAGAUAAUUAUUCGAUCGUAAAAUAAAUCACACAAGUAAGUAAUAAAAAAGAGUAUGAUAUAAGCGUAUUGUGAAACAUAUAUAUACUGGGUGUAUGCGCUUUGAGAGAAUAGACCUGCCUGAAGGAUAUAACUCCAUGUUUGAAGUGUAGCCUCGCCGUACUAAAGGUCUCGAGAAUUGUAGUUAAAAGUUGUCUUAUGUUCUUAAUGCAAAAGACUCAAGAGCCUAUUGUAAGGGCCACAUGGUGGCAUGACAUCAUUUUUUAUUAUGUGUCGGUCGUAUGAGUGAAUAGUAGGUGGAAACCAUAUGUGGAUUGUUAAGGAUGGACGAUCAUUAAUUUCCUAAGCAUGUGGUAUUAUAGGUAGACAAUUUAACCUUUGUACAUGGUGGCGUGCGCCCAUCUCUUGAUGGAACUGACGAAAGUCGGACCGCCGUGAGCGUGGGCGAACUGUCUCAUCAUAGUGACAGACAUGCAAGCCUCACAUCGAUUUGUCGGUCCGAUCGGUUAUUGUACUGGGCAAUCUGGGAGCAGGCCGUUGGGUCCAUAUAUCAGUUGUAAAUCCACAUCUCAAUCUCCUACUUAGCUCGAUGUGAUCCUCAAUUGGCAAUAUAGUGCUUAAUUAGGCCCGUAAUGAUAUUUUUGUUUGUGCUAGUCUCGAGAGAUGUAUGUAUAGUCACAGAGGAGCAUGCAUAUGUAUUCUGUAAUGAAAUGACAAGGCCUUGGGUUCUGAAAUCUGAUACAAGAAUGCCUUGUCUAAACUGAAAGAUAGAACGAAAUCACUGGUCGGUACGUAGGUGAUCAGUCAGCAGUCAGUUUAGACAGGAAUAUAACUGGCAGUAGCCCAGAAAUUGGCAUCUAAAUAAAGGAAAUUGGGUAUCGUAGUUGAGUGGCUAAAUCGAGCUGCAAUAAAUUUUUUCUUAGGGAAUGGCAGAAGAAAAGAACAUAUAUAGGCCCAGAAAAUUUGCAGAAUCUCCGGGUUCAUGUUCAGUCCUGCCGUCUCCUUAUGUCUUAUCUCUCACCUUCUUACUGUACUGUUUACUUCUUCAUUUACGUUGACCACUGACCAGCUCACCGACAAGUUCUUCUCCUCGAAGAUAUUUUGGGUUUGAAGUUCGAAAUUUAUAAUCAUUUCGGGUUUUAUGAUUAUAUCACUAGCCUCAUCUGAGUUGAAAUUUCAAAAUUUUUAUAAUGCUGACAUUAUUAAACUUGGUGCUCGUAGGAGUUUUUUGUUAUGAAAAAAAUCAUAUAAUUUAAAACUCAAUUUUACUUCAAUUUAAUUUUAUUAUAACUCUCGAAUCAGGAAAAAUCAUGUACAACGAUUGCCUAAAAUUGAACGACACAUGGGAGCGACUCAAAUGCAACAUGGACCCAAUCGAGGACGCAAACACAUAUGCCGACGGGAAUGAUCGAAGAGUGGUAUAUUACUCGGUAACUCAAGAACCAAAUUGAUAAAGUUUUCAUUUUACCUCAUGGAUUCAAGCUGAAGUAAGCUACCACAACAUUAAUCUCGAUAGAACCAACUCGAAUGCAGCACGAUCCAAAUCAACGAUGCGGACACAGAUGACGAACGGGAAUGAUCGAAGAUCAGCGGCAUCUUGCUCGGUGACUCAAAACCGAAAUUGACGUUUGUUGUUCGAUUUACAUAAUGGAUUCAAGCAUAUUGUAUAAUUUGUUACUGUAGAAGUGUAUCUGUUUCGUCACUUUGUUAAGACAUAGGGAACACUUAUAGAAGAUAUUACCAAACUUUAAUUGUUUGGAUUCACCAUGGGAUUCUCUCCCACCUCACCCUCCCUUACUUUGGCUUCAUUACCAUCCUACCUAGCCCCUACUCCCAACAGACUUUACUUUGUUUUUCACGAUUAAAAAGAAUCCUUUAAAUUCAAGUGGACUCGGCCUGCGUUGUUGCUAUUCUUUUCAAACCGGCUUCGAACGUGAUCAUGCACACGAAAUUGGUGGCGAGAUUCGAGCAUAUGCUUCAACGUCAAUAACAGGUCCGACUCACUCAUAUUUAUCUGGAGGGUAAUCACGUAGCUAAUGCCAUGGCGAAUCUUUGUCACCAUCUUCUGCUGGGUAUGCAUAAUACCCUCUCUCAAAUGGAAAACUCUCAAGCUAGCUCUUAUAUGAUUCUGUUGGAAGUUGCGAGGCCCGUCAAAUAGCGACGACUUAGCUCUAUUCUUUAUUUUUCCUCUAAAAAAGAGAAUCCUUUAAUUUCUUCCAAUAUUUAAUUAAAUUUAUUAAACACAAAACCUAAUAAACUUUUCUAAUUCAACAUUAAAAACGGUUUGCAAAAGUCAUUGAAUUUUACUAUAAUCAUCUAAAAUAUUAACUGAGACGAAACGACUUUUGACAUAAAUUUUAUAUAAUUCUCAAAAUAAUUAUUUUGUAAUCCAAUAAACCUACAAUUCGAUAUACAAUAAUUUGAUUUACACCACUCAUGACCUUCCCAACCCUUUUGUUGGACAACUUUACCAAACACUAACUCAUGGACAGAACAAUUUCUUAAAGAAACAUUCAACAUCUUCUACAUUCAGCAUAGAGAUAUACAAUAUAUUCGAUAGAGACUUGAAAAUACAGAAAAUAUUCUAUACAUAAAUGAAAUACACAACACCCACAUUUUAAACAAAGCCCAAAAUGUUAAAUAAGAAAAUCAAUUUAUCAAGAUGUUGUAACAUCUCCAAGAAAUAUAGAUGCAUGGACAAGUAAUUAAUAAAUAUAAAAUGUGGUUUAUUUUUCUUCAAAAGGUUGUUGGAUGUUUUCUCAUCCUACUCUUCCUAAUGACAGUGACACGUCAGAAACAAACAAAACACCCCAUAAAUAAAAGCAAAAGCAUCAUCAAAUUGAUUGGAUAUGACUAUUGAAAUGUUUGAUGUCUCCUCUUGCUUGUCCCUAUUUGACCAAUACUCGUAUUGUCCAAAUUGAAUAAACGUACACUUUUCACAUCCUAAUAUAAUAUGCCAAAGUGACACGAUCGUAGCUAGGGUGGGAAACCUGUUUCGGCCCUGUCAAAUUAAGAUUCGAACACCCUAAGUUUUCAGGCUUUUUGGGUAAUUCAUGUAUUCGAUUAUUAGCAUAUUUAUUCUCUUUUUAUUUGAAAUUUUUGGAUGUUUGGAUGCCUUAACACGUUCAAAUUCAUGAUGUUUGGUGCAUAUUUGGUUCCCCUUGGUCCCUUGGGCCGUGUUACGUUGCUUUGUAUGUUUUUGGUACAUUUUAGUUGUCAUAUGACGAUUUAGGAUGAAUCAAGCCUUGGCGGAGAGUCUGUAACAACUCAGUACGCUCGACUUGUGAAGAAAACGUCACUGUUUAGUAUUUUGAGCAUAACUCAUCACUCGAAAGUCCAAUUGAUGCAAGGCCAUCAAAGUUGAAAAGAUAAUUCGAUUGUUUAUAACUUUUAUGUUGAAGUCAUGGUGAAAUUCCGUAUAUUAAAACAACACGGCGUGUUGCAAUGGCAAACGGCCGUGUUCUUCAUAUUUAUGCUCACGGCCGAGAAGAGCUGAAGAAAGGACACAACCGUGUUCUUUUCGGACACGCCAUGUUCUCCGAAACAUGCCAUAUUUUAUGGAACACACUAUAUUUUACCUCCUAACGAGAUUUUUGAGCUUAAUCCUUCUCCAACUUGGUCUAGAAGUCUAUAAAUACGCAUGAGACCCCCUAUGGACGAGAUAUAUUUCAAAUAUACUUUAUUCCAAAUAGUUUUUCGAGAUAAAGAGAGAUAAAGAGUUCAAGAGAUCGAUGAAGCGAGAGAACAUCAACAAUUGGAGACAGGUCGAAGAUUGGCGACAAGACGGAGAUUUAUCGACGAAACAUGUUUUCUUCCCAGGUUAUUUUCCUUUCUUCUUCCCUUCUUAUUUCCCGAACCAUGAGUAGCUAAACCUUUCGUGUUGUUUGGAUGAGAUGAAACUUUAGUUUAACUUUUGUAUGGAUGAUGGGGUUUUAAAGUUUUGAUUUGGUAUCGAGGUUAUUCAGACAUAUGAUGUGUUUUUGCUAAACUUAAUUUCUGAUUCAAUUUCGUUUGAUCGCCCUAAUUGAAUCAUCGUUAUUGAUUUGUGGAUCCGAGAGGAACAUAGAUUGAUAGGUCGCUUAGGAAGAACUCUAGAUUGUUCGUUAGCUCGAGAGAGGAAUGGAUCGUUUAGGCUUUUCGCAUCAUUUAUCGUUGUGGCGUUUCAUCGAACACCUUUAGUGCGUUUUGGUUAGGUGUAGAUUAGCUCGAGAGAGGAGUCUACGGUUGAGUAGAAUAGAUCCUUAGAGGCACGAGAGUGAUCUAAGACUAUCGUAGAAUAUCGUCAAGCUAUUAUAACCUGAAUAUUGAGAUAACUUAUCGUUCAUCCAUGCAUUGCUAGUUUUAGUGGAUUCAAAUCCGAACAACCUUGAUUCCAUAUUUGAAACUCAAUCUCUUGCAUUUUCUUUCUUUUGAUUUGCAUUCUUAGUUUAUAAUUGGUCACUUCAACAAACAAGCAAACAAUCAUUCACUGAUUCUUGGUUUAAUUAGCAUAAUCAAUUUGAGUAAUAACAUUAGAAAGACUCUAGAACAAUAAACGAUUUCAUUAAUUAAUUCUAGUAGGUAUUUGAUAGCGGGGUAAAAUCCGCUCGUUAGUAACACUUAAAAAGGCCGAUCUAGCCAAGAGUUUGAUCCUUCAACCACUUUACCGUUCAUAACCUUUCUUAUUCUUUCGCCUCUUCCUUCUUUUCAUUGGAUCGAUGUGGAACAACACAGGUUUGGACGGAGGGUACUACUGUGUGACAAGCUAGAUAGUUUUGACACCGUCGAGAUGUUAAAAUAUCCAAUCGGGCUUAACCAUUACUAACACUAGACUGGUCAAACCAAACUUCGGACACUCAAAAUCCCUAGUUGGGAGCAAAUGACCGGAACCCGUAUUGGUCAAAUUGCUAGAUACGGACUUCUAGUCACUCCGGAUAAAACUCGGGAAAAGAAACGAACCGGGUCAAAAUGUAAGAUUUAGCCUGAUCGACCCAAUCCAACCGAAACUCCACCUGGCAGUAUACCGUACUUCUACAGAUGACUGGAUUGUUUGUUUUAAUUUUAAAACUCAAGUCUUACAUUAUUGAGACCAUAAAAGAAAAAACUAAUGUUGAGACUCUCAAUUAUGAUCAACAACUUGAAAGGAGUGUAAUGUUUGACUAGUUAUUUUUGUUAGGUUUCUACCCAGCUACCAAUAGGCCUCACGAGCUUGGAAACUGACGACAGAGUCGGUACGUCGACAAUGGCCAGAGAAGCACAAAUAGGGUGAAUGUCCAAAACGAAACAGAGCAACCAAAACCCAACUAUACCAUGAACUCUUGCAUGGAGAGCACCCUUUUUUGUUCUUAUCCGUCAGAUUCGUACUCAAUAAUUUAUCAAACUCGAGUUUAUUAGUGGUUAAGACUUGAGCGGAGAUAUGAAACUGAUACUUUUUAUAAAACUCGGAGUUAUGCUAUGUAUUUUUUUAUCAUCUAAUACAAGGUAAUUUCUCAACCAAACAGAGACAUGGAGAAUAAAUUUAAAUUUUUUUGUUAAAUUAAAACUCACAAAGUAGGGAAUUUCUAAAAGUUGGGCAUGUAUUUUAGUUAGUUUAAUCCAAGUUAAACUCCAAUCUUGCUUUUUCAAGAAGCCUUUUGUGAGUGGCUGAGAUUCCCUUACUGACCCUAAGCUAAAGUCUAAUCCUAAUCCAGAUAAAUCCUGAAUCCCUUGCGCAUGGCAAAAAAUGGUAUGCUUUACGACUAUUUCCCAACCUGAAAAUCUUCAGCUUUUUCCCCCAAAGUUACACACCAAACAGUACCCUGCAAGCAACAUCAGUACUGCUACUACAAACCUUCAAAAGUACACAACAUGCCUACUUACCCAAAGUACCAUUUACCAACAUAAAGCUCCAUCCUUCCUUAAAAGCAUAUCUUCUUUACGUGUUGGAAGUCUGUGUCUUCUAUCUAGGGCCGGAAAUCGGGGCAGGUUCGGGUAUCGUUUUCAAAAAUUCUUAGACCCUGAACCACUUCUAGGGCAGAAAGUCGAGGUGAGUUCAGGUACGGUUUUCGAAAAUGUGUAACCCCCUCUCAAACCAUGAACUCAUUCAGACAUACGGGUAUUUAUCCAUAUAUUGGAAUAGUUAUUACGAAUUUGGAUUAAGGUAUUCGUCGAUACCUAACUUGAUCCAUCUGGCUUUUAAAUUUUAACAAAAGAAAGAACUAACCUACAUUUGAGUAGUAUAGUCCCGAAAAAUGAGUGAAUGGUAGUUGGUAUAUAUGGUACUUGUCUGUUACCGUAUUGACACGUUUUAUACGUCAUUUUAGGAUAGCAGUACCAUGUUUAAAGUUCGGCAUAUGUUAUAAAAUUUUAUAAAUUUAUAAUUUUAAAAAUGAAUAAAAGUUGAAGAGUUUAUUAAAAUAUCAAUUCUUAUCUUUAAAAUACGUGUUUUAUAUGUGAAGUAUCAAAUAAAUAUAAAACUAUUAAAUGGUUUUAUAAUAAUACAAGUACGGAAGUUUUAAAAGAAUUUAUUAAAUGAUAUUAAUUGGAUUUUUGCUAACUAACUAUUUCAUGGUUUUUUGGGUUUGGGUUUGCUUUCAUAGCUUGGUAAGUAAGGUUAGGUCGGAAAGAUAACCCGGAUCAAUGAGGUAAAUCCAAUCGGAUAGCGAGUGCCAUCGGAUAAGAAGAAGUAAGAAUCUUACACCAAAACCAGUUUGAGUUCAAGGUUGGAUUCGAGUAUACCCGAUACCAGUCGGGUAGAUUUCGAUCUUUAGAAAAACCCAACAGACCCACCAAGCUAAGAGUUCAAAAAUAACAGGAUAAGAAGAAUAAAAAACCAGAGACAGCAAGAACAGGGGAGGACUCUUAAUGUACAGUUUCAUAUCAUUACUAAACUAAAAAUUAAGUUUCUUGAUAAUCAUUACAAUUUGGUCAAAUGGACGAACCAGAUUUCCUUGAACACUUUGAUGAUAACAUCAUGAUACUCUUCCGAAUUUAGACACAAGUAACAAGCCAAAAGGUCUUCCAAAUCUUUGGACCUGCUAAUGUUAUUCUCCACAAUCAUCUCCACCAUCGACUCCAUGAAGUCCAGCUGUGGAUCCGACGACGAUUUCACCACCGCCAUACAUCCCGAAGAUGUCAGAGAACAGCUAGAGCUCAAGUUCGUCGAAGAACUCGAACUCGAACUCGAACUCGAGCUCGAGCUCAAGCUUUUUCUUCCUUGCUGCUGCGAUUGAACUCUCAUGUACCCGAUUCUGGGAGACUUGACCCGGAGCUUUAUCCCUGGAGAAUUCGUCGACGAAGAUUGCUUUCUUAUAAAUGAUGAUCCUUUUUGCUCUUUGCCGACAUUGAUGGACAGAGGUUUCUGAAUCGAGCUGCUCCUCUGUUUCUUUACACCUUCAAUGCUAUCGUCGAAGCUCGACGGCUUGGUCAAAAUGGGGACCAGAUCUCGUUGAGGCAUUUUAUCAUAAACAAUGUCGUUAGGGCAGCCGCAGGAAUUAUUGCUUGAUCUGGAGGACACCAUCUUAUCGAACGAAUCCGUCCUGAGCGAACAAUCCGACCUGAAUUCCGUAUCGGAUGCGGAAACAGAGCAAUCCGUAACCUCCGCCGGCAGCGGUGGAGGCGGUGUCAAGUCCGAUUUCGCCGUGGGUGGCCGGUGGUUGACGACGCGGCACGCGGGUGGCCAGUGGUUAACGACACGGCAACUGCAGCCGCCGGAAACAGAGAAGAAAACGAGGUCGGGAGAUGGCCUGACAGCGGCGGAUUUCUUCUUGGGUGGUAGUUGCCUGGACGAUUUCUUUCUGGGAGAAUUGGGGAGCUUUGGCUGUGCUGAUGAACUUGGUGGUGAUGAUUUGAGCUCUCUGGUAAAAUAAUAAGACUUCCUCGUUCCAGUCGGAGGAGGGGGAGGCGUGGGCUUACGAUGGCGGCGGGUUGUGUCGGAAGCAUUGGCGGCGGACGUUGGCGGCGGCCGUGUGUUUGAGGUUGUGGAACCAGGCGUUUGGGAUCAUGUCGGAGAAUCUAAACCGGAGAUUACCCAUAGGUGUGUGGUUGUUUGAGAGAGAGAGAGAGAGUGGUUUUGGGUUUUGGAUUUUGGUUGAAGGAAAUCAUAAAUAGAGAGACUGAGAGGGGAGUGAGUGGGGCAAAAAGAGUGACAGAGAAAGGAGAUGGUAAAGUAGUUUACCCACUAUGUCUAGGCUUCUUAAGAAAUGUCGAGACGGUCGCUAAUAAUAAUUCGGUAUACAGUUCGAAAAAAAUCGAUCAAAAUUUAGUUUGGGUUUCAAAUGAGCUAGUGGUAAACAAGUUGAGUUUGAGUUAGGUUUGUUUGAUGGUUCGAGUGAGUUUCAUGAGGUCAAUGAAAUUCCAUUGAAGAUUGUUAGCGGUUCAAUCGAUAUAGUUCGUAGGUGAUUUUGCUGAAUAACAAUUAAAUUAAAUUUAUGAUGAUGAAUGAUUUUGUUUUCUGAAAUGACUUUAUUUGAAGGGCCAAUUAAUUUGAAGUAAAUUUGUGAGGAAUUGCUAAUCAUCAUUGUUGUUUGUUGAGUCAUGGGAUCUAACUUUUAACUCAAUGAAAACAUCCAAAUCAUUGAAUUGGUAAUUAUUAUUUUGACCAAGGAUAAGGAAAGUAAUUUCUAUUUUCUACAUCCAACUUGGACAUUGAAUUUUUCCUCACUUACUUGGUAUAUGAUUAAAAAACAACAACAACAAAGUGAAUAGUGGUCAACCAAUGAAUUUUCAUCAAUUUUGGUUAAAAUUUAAAAAUAUUAUAGCUAACAUUAAAAAAGAGUAAUAUAUAUACAUAAGAUAUCACAACUAAGAGAACCAUGUGAUUUUGUGUAUUUAAUCAACGAAGCAUGUUUUAAAUUCGUUUCUAUCUAUAAUGUGAAGGAAUUUAAACAUGAAAUCUAUUUUCUAGAUUUGAUUCGGGUUUGUACAAUUUAAUAGGAUGUGACGACAAUUCGAACUGUACCCGAUUUCUUUAUAUCAAUCUUUUAAUACUUGGAAUCAAUAAACAUCCAAUGAUUAUGAUUAACUCACGUAAGCUUCAAUGUUAGCUUCCCCCACAAUCUGUAAAUAGAUAGGGGAAGUGUACCUCGAAUGUCUACACGCAGACAGAAACUUGGAGAACCUGAAUGUUACAGAACAAGCCACUCGAGUGUUUGUAUAUGAAAACUCAACAGAAAAGAAAAAUAUAAAAAUAAAUAAAUAGGAAAUGAAUAUUUUAUUCAUGAUAAGAUUCAUUUUCAUAUUCUGUUCAUCUAUAAGGUCAAAAUAACUGGAGAAAGAACAAAGCUCGAGCCCACUAAUAACUGUAUCUUCGUCGCGUUCACACUAUCUUUCUUAAAUGGUUACUCUCUGUGUUGGUCGUGGAAGCCCAAUCCCAAGCCCGGCCCAAAACAUAGCGUUUUGAUUUUUCUUCUUUUUCUAAUGGUUGGAAAUCGGUUCCGUUAUGGUCAACUACGUCCGAAAAAAUUGCCACGAAACAAAACAAUCCUAUUCUCUACGAUGACAUCUGAUUAUUUGGGUUUUCUCUCUUUCGGUGUAGAUGUGGUAAACGGUUACAACCUUCUGUAUAGAAUUUAUUUUCAAAAAUUAAUUUGUGAAAAAAAAACGUACAGAAAAAACCAUACUUCCAAACCAACGUCCACAAUAAAUCAUUCUAAUUAUCAUAAAAAAAAACCAACCCAAAAGGGUGGUGAGGAUGGGUGUUUGGGUGGGCUGAUAUUAAAUUAAUAUAAUUGAAUUGGGUAGACAUCGGAGCAUGUGGUUGAGAGGGGGGGGGGGGGGGGGGGGGGGGGGUGAGAGGGUGUUGUGGUGGUGGUGGGUGAGUGAGGUGUCGAGCGUGGAAUCUAAAAGGAUUUUGUCAGCGUGUACGUAAAUGACAUAUCACGACGUCUCUAAUUAGACCGAUCAUUUAAACAAAAUUCUGACGAUUUUUCACCGACGAUGAUUGUGCGGUCGCUAAAAAUAGUGAAUCCAUCGCCAUCCUUCAACAAUAUAUAAUGCAUGGCAGCGUGAAAAUUUAAUAUAUAAAAAAAUCAGCUGAAAAUUCCUUGUCUCUCACUUUCGACAACAGCAUAUAAACUAGAUACGACAGCUGCCACUCAGUCCGACCAGUCGCUAACGUAACAUUGGGAUAAUUUACCAGCUACGGUAUUUUUGUUUGGUUUGUUCCGUGGACUACGUGUAACGUACCUUAGGCUCAUCUUGAUGCAGUGAAUCACUUAAAUUCCACUUUCUUUGCCCAAGAAUGUGUUAAGUGUUAUGGGUUCUGCACAUUUCAAAAGUCAGCUCAACAUUUGAUUAUAACACAACACUCAACUCUUUUUUUUCUCCAAUGUGGAAUUAUCCAACAAUCUUUUUUUAAAUAUCGGUCAACCAGAAACCACAUGAUCACAAUCAGCUCCUUUGGUAGCUAAGCAUACCAGCUUUAAUCAAAUCACACAUUGAUAUCUUGGUAAAAGUUACCCAAUCUAUUACCAAUUCUAACUAAAUAACCAUAUGUCACUCAAUAAAUAUUAUUUAUCUACCUGUUUUAACAUAAUUUCACAUGAACUUUGAUUAUAUUAUAUAUUGAGUGUUAUUAAGCAUUUUUACUAUAAAAAAGUAACUUAAUAAAUAAGGUUUUUUCUCGUACCUAUAAGCAGUACACAACCCGGCCCACUUCUCGAUACUAGACAAAUGGACUAGGUAGAGAACCCCCAAGUUUUGUUUGGGAGCGUGGGGAUCACGAUAAAUUGACUACAUAAAUUAAGAAAUGAACCCAACAAAACUGAUUCAAUGUUAAUUAGCCAAAUUCAUGGUCCCCUUCAAGGUCUCAGUAAGUGUCGAGAUCAUCAAUUAGCAUUACGACAUGACUAUACGACGAGUUCCAAGUCCCCCCCCCCUCCCCUAAUACACCAAACUUAGUAUUUAAUUGUGGCCAUGUUUUGUCUCUAUACUAAGUGAAAAGUGUGACUCGCCAAAGGUAUACGCCAUUCUUCACUUAUUCCGAUAGCGAGAUGUAUGUUACGGUGAAAAUACCUUAUUUAUUAAUAGGCGGCAAGAUAGAUUUUAUUUUUGUCAAAUUAUUAGUGUAGGCGAUGUCUAACUACAUAGUUGUUAAUUGUUUGAUAAGUAAAUGGGAUAUGUAUGUUCUUGCGAUGAUGAUGAUGAUAUAUAAGUUGUCCUUUGAGUCGUGAUGGCUGCGAUUGUGAAGAUUCAUAUGAUGAGAAUACCUUAUUUGUUUCCAGUUUUUUAUUAUGAGAGAGUAAAUUCCAAGCAAGUCAAACAAGUUCAGCUUCCAAUAAUUAACAACAACUAGGUUGAUUAAUCAUUAGAAUUACUAGUUGGGAUGUGAUUGGAGUUGGAACAUGUUUUGUUCAUUGGGAGAAAAUAAAGUGUUCUCCGCAUUCUAGACAAGGCCCAGAUUUGGUCGUGAAGAAAGCCCAUCAUAGGAGGAUUGGCCCAGAUUAGUAACCCAAAUGGAUCCAUCUAAGCAAGGACUAUCGGGCCUAGCAUUUCAAUGACCAAGGCCCAUGAUGAGAUGUACGGAUACUCUUAUUCGUGAACUUGUAUGUAUUAGUAUCGUUGUUCAUGGGAGGUCAUUUCAGGCCUUUCCUCCAUAGUCCUACAACAGGCUGGAAGUUGGGCCACGACUGAGGCCCAUUUGACCAACCAAUGGUUGCAACUUCCGACCCAAAUUAAUUAGGAGAGAAAGCUUCUAGCUGUAUGAUGGAACUGGAAAAGAAAAAGAGAGCGAUUAUUAGUUUUUAUUAAAAGUUACAUAAUAAUUGCAUGAAUUUCUCUGCUGGAUGAUUGGAUCCGACGUGACAUUUUGUUCAACGAAUGAUUACUUAUACGUGGUAAAAAAGACUAAAACUCGAAUCAUUUUGAUGGACAAUUAGCUAAUUAAUUAGGUUCUUCAAGUUGCGUUACAUUUAGAUUAGUAUGCAUUGCUAUUUGGUAGCUACUAUGAUUGAUUAAGUAACUUGCGAGGGAUGCACAGUGGCAGAUCAUCAUGCUCUAUAUAGCUAAUAGAGCCGCCGCUUAUUCUACAUUACAUCUAGAUUAUCGCACGUUACGAGUACUCCUCACUUACUUUUUAAAUAGAUACAAUGGUUCUCCUACAUUUCAGUCUGGCUAGCUAAUUGAUUUGAUCAAGUGUGUUGGAAUUGGCCAUUAUGUCAUUGAUCAACAUGUCUCCAUAUAAAAUUCGAGGCACAAAUAUCUUUUUUCGGCCACUGAUCGAAUGCUUGACCUUAGGUCCAACACCGCCAGUUGUGGCAAUGUUAUGGGUUUUUGAGUCGUAUUGUUCCAUCAUACAUGCUUUAUUUUCGAUUUUAAUUUCUUGAGUCCGAUGUCUACGAAAGCGGUCUGGGCUGCCUGCUCUACCGUUUCGGCUCAUUCUAGAUUACACGUUUAGCUCUUGUAUUUUAAAAAGAAGAAUUUAGAUGGCAUUACACCCUUUUAAUGAGAACACAGCCGUUAAGUAGUAGAAAAAAAUACCCAGUUGCAUUCUGGACCUACUGCUUUAAAGUUUCAAAUUCUUGUGGUCGUAAGUUGCCCAUUAAAGUAGAGUUAAAGCAUAUAUAUACUGCUGUGUUUCAAAGAAAAAAUGAUAUUACUUGAGGGGAAAUUUCAUGAGUAUCUUCCUAUUUGGUCCCAUGACUUUGUAAAAUGAAACUAAUAACCUUUGUACAUUAUUUAUAAUAAUGUAAUUGUGUAAUAAAUCUAUUUUCAAAACAAAUCAUUGUCUGCGAUUAUUCACCUACAAGUUUUAGAGGGUCACUUUGACAACUUGAAAAACGAAAUAAGAAAGAGAUUUUACUUUGAAAUUUACUAACUCAAUCGAACAAUAAGGAGAGUACUCAUCGAACAGAUACGGCUUUUAUACACAAAUCAUGAGUGUGUGUAUUGUCUUUACCUCAAAUGUGUUUCAAGAAGUACCCGUGUGCAUGUAAAUACGAGGCAAAUAUAUCAUACAAAAAAAAGUUCUCGGAAAAUUAAGAUUCCAAUAACAAAAAUUUAAAACAUGAUCUGAAAAAAAUGAAGAAAUUUGAACCCAUAAUUCUCAUAUGUUGAACUCUAGAACCAACUACCAAACGGAAAAGGACUAAAUCGUGUACCCCUUUAAAUAUCCCAGUAAAGGCCGCGUUAAGAAGAAGAAACAAAAACCAGAACGCGUAUCCUCCAAUUUUGGUAUCACAGUAAAACCACCAAACCCAAAUUCCAUCUACUUUUCCUUUUGGGUUUUCAAAUUCCUUCUCUUCCAAAAUUUCUCAUGAGUUAUGACUCCAUUAUGCCAGACGACUCACCCGCCGCCGGUCCCCUGUUCGGAAAAUACGAGGUGGGUAAGCUCCUGGGCUGCGGCGCAUUCGCCAAAGUGUACCACGCGCGAAACGUUGAUACAGGGCAGAGCGUGGCGAUCAAAAUCGUCAGCAAGCGCAAAAUCCAGAAAGCAGGGAUGACUGCGGCGAAUGUCAAGAGGGAGAUCUCUAUCAUGCGCCGGCUGCGCCACCCCAAUAUCGUGCGCCUGUUCGAAGUCCUCGCUACCAAGACCAAAAUCUACUUCGUGAUGGAGUACGCCAAAGGAGGCGAGCUCUUUGUCAAAAUUUCCAAAGGACGGUUCUCGGAAGAUCUCAGCCGUAAAUACUUCCAGCAGCUGAUCACGGCCGUCGGCUACUGUCACGCGAGAGGCGUGUUCCAUCGGGAUUUGAAGCCGGAGAAUUUGUUGCUCGACGACCGAAUGAACCUCAAAGUCUCCGACUUCGGCCUCAGCGCCACCACCACCGUUGGAUUGUCAUCAACAGACGGUGGGGAGCUGUUGCAUACUUUGUGUGGGACCCCUGCGUACGUGGCGCCCGAAAUUCUCGGGAAGAAGGGGUACAACGGUGCCAAGGUGGACGUCUGGUCAUGCGGAGUCGUCCUGUUCGUCCUCGUCGCUGGUUACCUUCCGUUCAACGACGCAAACCUCAUGGCGAUGUACAAGAAGAUCUACAGAGGAGAAUUCCGCUGCCCGAAGUGGACGUCACCGGAGCUGCGACGACUGCUCUUCCGUCUCCUGGAUUCAAAUCCAGAGACGAGGAUCACGAUCGACGAGAUCCUCGGCGACGAUUGGUUCAAGAAGGGUGGUUACAAGGAGGUGAAGAAUUCCCCCGCGGCGGGGGAUUUCGAUUUCAAGAGCAGGAUGAUAGAAGAGCAGAGUCUUAACGCGUUCGAUUUGAUAUCUUUCUCAUCGGGAUUCGAUCUCUCCGGCCUCUUCGACAAGUCAGGGAUCGAGCGGUUCGUAUCGACGGAGUCGCCGGGGCGGAUCGUACAGGGAGUGGAAGAGGCAGCUAAAGUGGAGAAUUUGACGGUGACGGAGAAUAAGAAAUCAGGGAUGAAACUGGAAGGGCGGGACGGUAAUUUCGUGAUGCUGCUGGAAAUUUACCGUUUGAGUGAUGAGCUGGUGGUUUUCGAAGUGAGGGAGAAAGAAGUAAAUGUACUACCCGGCUGUGAAAUAUGGAAGUAUAAGCUCCGGCCGCAUCUCCGCCGAUUAGCCGGAACCGCUGACGACGCCGUUUGACGACGGCAGAGAGAGAGAGAGGAAUAAUUAAUAUUUAAUCAAUUAAAUGCUAAUUGGUUUUGGUAUUUAUUAUGUGUUUUAAUGACUGAAAUUCCAGUCCGGCUAAUUAACUAGUGAUUAUGUAAAUUCCAGUCCGGCUAUUUAGUUGGGGAGAGGAAAAUGUUUUCUGAAUAUGAGGAAUUAAAUUAUUUCGCAACAGACGGGUAUGUGUUUACUUUGCAUGAAUUUGGUGUCGAUGGGGAUUGGUGGACUUUCUGAAACUGUAGUUCUGAUUUUGCACGUAACGUGUUCGACGAAUUGCCUGAAAGAGAAAGGCAUUAUGCUGGCAAAAUAGCUGCUGCCGACAUUGAAAUGAAUUCGUUGGCGGUGAGAUACCAGUACAAACGGUAAAUUCUUAAAUUCUUUUUUACUAAUUAUGUAUAUGUUGCCAUUCCAGCUCAAAAUCUCCAGUUAAAAGGAAUUCUUCCAAACUCUUCUUCAUGAUUUUCUCUCAAUUCAGUAAAGUCUAACUGCUCAGACUCCUAUCUUCAACCCAACUGAAAUACGGACUAUGUCGAAGACUUCCUAUGACGUCCAUGUGUUCUCUUCAACUGAAUACAUUAUAUAACAAUAGCGAAUAACUCCGGUUAUCCAUGGGGUAGCUAGGCAUCCAUGCCUAGUAGUUGUGUACAAUUUGUCAUUGAAUUGGUGCACCGUACAAUCCAACUGUAAGAGCUAGGCAUUAUUGGGGAGAAUGUCCGAUUGUAUCUGACCUGCACAUGUGAUGAUCACAUACUCGAUCGUACAAUCAAAACUUUAGUGAAAACGAUAACAAAUGUACGAAUUGGUCCAAAUUAUCCAUCUCACAUGGAGUAGUAGUUUGGAACAAAUUGUAUGGCAUAAUAAUUUCAAAACUGUGAAUGAACGUGCAUCGUACAACCCAAGUGCAGAAAAACAAACAUGCUAAUGUUGGUUAAAAUAUGAUAUUGUUUCAAACACGAGCAUUGCCCGGUUUUAUCAACAAGACCAUCGUACGCUAAGCUCAACAUUUAUUAUUUUGAUAAGCGAUAUAAAAUAAGCUCAACAUUUAUGAACUUACCGUUAGUUUUGGUGGAUGAAAAGUUGAAAGUGAUUUCGCACAUUUUUCAAACCGGGGUGGAAAAAGUUAGAUCGCCCAACGAAAUGAUAGCAAAAAGUGAUUUUCUCCAUCACCAUCUAAAUUUUUCAUUAAAAUAGGGUUGUUAACUUUGUCAAUAUUGCGGAUUGAAUUCUUCUUUAAAAUCAUGGUUAUUCAACUAAGAUUUAAGGCGAUUUGUAUGUCGAACCACAUAAUUUUUGACAUAUAAAUGAAAUGUUUCGGUACAGUUUUGAAAAAGAAUGUGGUCUGCGUAGACAAAAUGAGAAGAAUGCAAUUAGAUAAUUUAGAAUGAUUGAUAGGUAAGUGCAAGUCAUUAUCAAGCAGGCAUUACACUUAAACUACAGCCCACUUAUCUGCAAUUCCAGCAGCCCCCACUUCGAUCUGAAUAAUAAUAAUCAAAAUCCAGCACAUGCAUGAAACAAUUACGACCGUCGGCCAUCCAAAUUGUUUAUUAAAACGUCGAUUUUGCACCCACGAUAUCACAUGCAUCAUAGAAAGCUGCAGACGAAGCUUCUGAAUUGAUUAAUUAACCAGGCUGUAUUUACUGCCGCAUUUUAAAGUUGAUAUCCGACCUUAAUACUCGAAGAAUUAACUGACUUCGCGUCCUUACUCUUCUCAAGAAAACGAAACCACGUCAAAAGACAAAUGCCUCAAUGACGACCGACACUACCCGACCUACAAUUCCAGCAGCCACCACUUCAAUCUGAAUAACAAUAAGCCCAUGCCGUACUGAAGCACAAGCCCAAGUACUUUGGCCCAUCUGAUUUGGAGCACCAAGUCCAUCAGUACAGCGUAAUCUGAAGCACUUCAGUAGUUCCAAUUUCAGGACAAUCGAACGAUGGAUGAAAAUGUCAUUAAUCGAUACCGAAUAUCGGCAGAGUACAUUUUUCGAUCUAAACACCUCUAAAGAUGAAAAGAUAAAUCGAACAAUGGUUUUAUCAGUCAAACAGAAUGGUCAUCAUUCAUCAGCUUCUGCCAGGUUCAAUGGUUUUAUCUGAGCCGCGAUAUCUGACAACACACUCGAAACAGGAAGCUGCUGCUGCUGCUGUUCUCCUUGCCAACUCCACACGAUAUCCUUCAACGAAGGCCGAAUCUCUUCCUUCACCACUUUCCGAUACUCCAUCGUAUCCCCACUGCACUUCUUCAUCUCCACCAAAUGGAAGCACGGACUUAUCUCGAAAAUCUCAGCUUCUAUCCCAAUCACACCUUUCCUCCCUUCCCUCGCACCUUCCAAUCUCAUCAGCCCUCCUUCCUUCUUCUUCACCCUCAGGUUUAGUCGCUUCGCCACCUCCUCGACUCUCGAGAUAAUCGUAGAAGCCGCCCUGUUCGAAGUAAACGUCACCUCUUUCUUCUCCCCCUUCUCCUCGAACAGCCCCGACAAAUCGAAUCCAGACGAAUACGAAAUUAUAUCGAACGCGUUCAGGUUACUACAUCGCUUCGAAUUUUGAUUCGAUUCGUCUGUCUCGGGCAAAUCAGUCGUCUGCUUGUUCGGCUCGAAUAGGCCCUUUUGAAACCACGAGUUCUGCAUUAUCCUGGCAAUAGUAAUCCUCUUGCUCGGAUUCGGAUCCAUGAUUUUCGACAGAAACCUCCGAACCUCGUACGAGAACCAGUUCGGAAUCUUGAACUCUCCCUUCAUUAUCUUCCUAUAAAGCUCCAUUAGAUUCGAGUCAUGAAACGGCAAAUAACCAGCAAGCAGAACAUACAAGAUAACUCCACAAGACCAAAUAUCGGCUUUCGAUCCAUCGUAUCCUUUUCGAACGAUAACUUCCGGAGCGACAUAGGCAGGAGUUCCACACGUGGUGUGGAGCAAUCCAUCUUGCCUCUUGCAAUCAGCAAGAGCGCUGAGUCCGAAAUCCGUAACCUUCAAAUUCUCGUGUUCAUCCAGAAGCAGAUUCUCCGGCUUCAGAUCGCGGUGGCUAACCCCGCGGCUAUGGCAGUAAUCGACUGCGCUGAUCAGCUGUUGGAAGUACUUUCUCGCAACGUCUGGUUUCACUUUCCCCUUGGCGACUCUGUUGAAGAGCUCGCCGCCUUUGACAUACUCCAUGACAAAGUAAAUCUUCGUCUUGGUUGCCAGAACCUCGUAAAGCUCCACCACGUUCGGAUGGCGGAUUAGUCUCAUUAUCGAAAUCUCCCGCUUGAUCUGGUCCAUCAUUCCGACUUUCAACACUUUCUCCUUAUCAAUGAUCUUGAUAGCCACACUUGUACCAUUCUCAAGAUUCCUAGCGUAGUGAACCUUGGCAAAGGUCCCUUGACCUAACAACCUCCCAAUCUCAUACUUGUUCAUCAACACGCAUCCCUUCUGCUCCAUUUUGCUCGAUUUCAAAAAAACUGAUUCAAAACUCUCGAAUUUUAAACUGAUGAAUCCAGAUUAUACCUCAAUCAACCACCUUCGCAAACACCAUCGUUCUGCAGCAGGAGAUACAAGCCUCCUUUAGUCAAUCUACAAGCGAGCAUUCCAUUACACGGAACAAAGAAUCGAAAUCGAGUCAAAUAAACAUCGACGUUGAGCUCGGAUUUGUUGUGGAAAUCAGCUAGACAGCACAUCUUUCAGCAUUCCCUUCGUCUUUGUUGAUUUUUCCAAUACAAUCAAUCAAAUCACCUGAGUUCACAAACAAAAUUGUAUAAACACAGAAUUCCACCAACCAAACAGAAAUCGCCGGAAACAAGAAUAGUUCGACGAAUCGGAAUACGAUCGGAGAUUUACAUACCUGGGGAAGUUUAGCGGCGGAGUGAACGAAGAGAUGAAUCGUGAAAACCCUAGAGAGAAGUUGGAAAUCCAAGCUCCGGAAAGCUGGAAGAAUUGAUGAAUGGUUUCACUGAAUUGACAGAGUGAAAACGGCUAAUUGGUUUGCUUAUUUAUAUUGGCGGAUCUUUAAAGAAUGUGCCGUUUCGGUAAAAUGACAGCCUAUCAUUAUUUCAUUACUUUUCUUUUUUGUGCUACAUUUAAUUAUUUUAGUAUUACCAUUUUUUUGGUAAGCAAAUGAUUUUAUACAUAAUUUGACUUGUUAUUAAGAAAAUUGUAUUAGGAAAUUAAGGUAAUUAUUUUUUCUUUAUUUAUAGAUUUAUAAUUUGGUAACUUGAGAGAGAGAUUCUGAAUAAACAACAUAAUAAAACAUUAAGAGAAUCAAAUAUAUAUAUACCAACCUUGGUCGUAGAAAUGGGUGUUUAGGAUUAGAAAAACACAAAAAUGGAUUUGAUGGAAACCAAACCAUUACAGCGGCAGACAAAGGUUUGGCUGCAUGGAACCUGCCAGACAACUUGUCCACACUUAAUAUAUGUUUUGCUGUUACAGUAACACAACACAUAAAACGUGUCCUUUUAUGCAUUUCAACUUUUCAAGUACGUAGUCAAAUUGGUAGGAAGAAAUUGCUGGGAAAUGAUACCACCACCACUACCCAUUUGAGUUUGAUUAACAAAAUAGAAUUCAACACUUCACAACACAAGUGUAUUACGAAACUCAGACGGUUAAUUGGCUGCUCAUGUUGGUGUCACAAUUCACAUUUAUAUUUUCAUGUCACGAUGGGUAUGGAAAUGUGUGCUUAUGUAGAUGUGUAUGCAUUGAUCACGAUAUACACAUGUGUUUAUGGUGGUGGCAUUUAGUUUAGUCGCACGUGGUUGAUACUCAUUAUUCAAAGAACUUACGGAAUUAGAGUUCACGACAGUUAACUGACUAUUCAAGUUGGUGUCACAAUUGUAAGGAUUUUCGAUUUAUAAACGGUAUAUGCAUAUGUGCUUAUGUAGAUGUGUAUGCAUUGAUCGCGUUAUACAUGUGUUUAGACCAUACACAGACAUAUUUUUGACGAGAUAAGAAGAUAUUCGAUUUGUUUGUACGUAAUUCAUAUUCGAUAUUAAGUGAACUUCAUGUAACAUGAAAUGAUUCAUUGUUUAAACAAUUAAAGUAGGUACGCAUAAAGCGAACAAAUCAUUGUAUAAAUUAAUCUUCAUUUAUACAAACAAAUGCAAAUUAAACUAUUUAAUAAUCAACAACUUUUAAUUAUUUUGGGGUUUUCUAUUGAAUUAUUUUUCACCAACUUUCAAUACCAAGCCAAAAUGGCUGCACUAAUACCACCAAAGACGUUACUACUUUUUUAAUAAUAAUAAUAAGAUUCUGACACGUGUCAGUAAAGUAAGGGUUCGCACGAGGAGUGGCCAGCUAGGACCAAAGUGACAUUUCACGUUUUAGUUUGCGAGCAGAUUACUUGCUUGCACUUCUGUAUGACCUGGCGUUACAUGCCAUUUGUUGAUCAUACACGUGGCACCAAUCAGCAUCAAUCCUGCCACGAUAGCAGGAUCAAAUUAUUUUCAAAUACAAUUCAAUCAUGCAUUUCUAUGAUGGUUCACCCCUGAAUUAACCAAUGACUUCUAAUUCAGAACAGAGCAUCUAAAUCAUCAAUCCAAAAUCCCGAUCAUCGAUAGAUUAUUAUACAUCAACAAAAUCACAAAGGAUUCAUUAAAUUUUGACGAGAAAUAGAAAUUAUGAUUACUUAAUGGAAGAGAGAAUAAUAAUACAAAUGAUAAAUGCAUCAAGGUAGUGAGUGGAAAACUUGAUUUCCUUCACCUCGUAACUUAAAAUUCUCACUUCCAUUGUGUUUUGGCACUUAUAUAUCCCGACCUGGCUUGGAUCCCACCGCUAGACCUUAAGCAAUCACAUAACAUUUUCUUUUAUGUGCCUAAUUUGCAUAUUUUUUCAUCUCAAAUUCGACAUGGUCAAUAAUCUUAUUCCGCAAAUUUUCUUAUAUCAGCGAGACGAAAAAAGCCAUAAAUCACAUCAGUAACCCUCACAAAUUUUCAACAAAUACAAAGCAUCACGGGAAAGAAAGCAAGCAUGUGCAGCUAAUCACAAUGGCUUUUGUAAUCAAUUUGCUAUACAACCUGAACUUCCAACUUGGCCAGCACUUCAGAAACAGUGUCAUGGCAGGUUCCUCGGGUGUUUUCUUGAUCCUUGGAGGCAAUGGUUGCACCCUCGUUACAAAAGCUAAUCUUUCGGCACAAUUCAUCCGGCCGAAUAGCAUAAACUUUCGAGAAGAAGAGAGGAACCUAAUAGUCCACCACACUAAGGCACUGCAAAAAAAAAAGGGACAACGACGGCGGAAUCAGAGGAUCAGGCUUCAAUAAUAUCUUCCUCCCCAGAGUAUUGCUUCCCUUCUGUUCCCAUUAUACUUAUAAUUAAAGCUUGAAGAUGUUUGUCAUUACUGUACCAAGCAUUUCACAGUGAGAUAUGAUGCUCAUAACAAACAUUGUGAAAUGCACGAUACCCAAAUCACAAACAUUAUUCAAGAUUUCAUCAUUAGUAUAAUAGGAUUCCUAUGAUAGGAAGGUUGAUCGGCCGAUUCCUCGAAGCUGAAAACACCGCUGUACAAGAGGAUCGGGAGGAAGAGUAUUAUGAUUGCUGCCGCUUUAUGUUGUUAGGUACUACUCCGGAGUAAUUCAGUACAUUUUCAGUGUUUAGUAAACGUAUCUCGUUUCUCCAGCAAGGAAGAGAGCUUCUUCCGAUAAGAGUUCAUUACAGUAGCAUGUAAAGACCAAGCCACAUCCAAAUACAUGUUUAAAAAACCUGUAUUCAGAUGUCGCAUGGUCUAUACAUACUGUUAUGCGCUGCUUCUGUUUUACAAGUAGUUCCUGAAAUGUGUGCAGCAUAUUAUUAAAGACAGCGCAGCGAAUAUACAUUGGAGAUAAGUAGGAAACUAAGCAAACAAUGGCAGAUAUCAACUUCAAAUAAAGACAUGCACACAUUCAAGUUUAUGAAUAUAGACUUUCGACCAGAUAGAACUUCGUAGCUCAGUGAACAGGAACCCAAACUUGUAGAUGAUCAUAGCAAUGCUCGCGUUCAGAAUCACAGGUAUGAACACAAAAUUCCACCGCAAAACAGCAAACAAAAUUGCAUAAACACAAAAUUUCACCACCAAACAGAAAUCGCCCGAAACAAGAAUAGUUCGACGAAUCGGAACACGGUCAGAGCCGUGUGUAGGUGAGAGGUACCAAGAUAACUAAGUGCCUCACGUGCCACUAAAUGGGUGGCACAGUUAUCUUGACGUCGAAUGCGAUGAAGAGAAACUCGAGGGAGUGAUUGGUAGAGGGUACGCCAUUCAGAAAGGAUCUGUCCUACUGGAAUAUAUGGGGAUGCCGGAUGCCGAAGUAAUGAAGAGGGAGGAAGGUCGUUCGAAGAGGUGUGAUUGUCGUGUUCAGUCCACUGCAUCUGAAAUUGUUGUUGUAAUGAACUGAUCGAAAAACGAAUUAGGAAAUAGAUUAGGAAAUGAAGGUAAUUAAUUAGAACUGUGAGUAUAACUGCAAAUUUCACAGUUAAACUGCGGCACAUUUGGGCAAAUGUCACAUUGAAUUUUACAUAUACCAACACCCGAAAUCAAUGUCUAUAAACAGUGGGAAAUACAAACCCUCGAGUGAAGGAACGUAUAAUAACAACAAACUUUACAAAACCCCCUUGAUUUUUACAAGUCUUCAGGAUUCAGCCACGCCAGACGGUGAAGCGACCUUGUUGCAAGCGUGUAGAACAGCGCAUAUGUCGGUUUUCUCCAGGAACUGUUCUGCAUUUGUAAGGACCAAAGGACCGUACUCGAAUACGAUCUUCUUGCACUGCCAAGAACAUCAAAGCCAAAGGGUUCAAUACUUCAAUAUAAAGUGAACAGUAUCACCUUAUUCCAAGACCAUUAAAACAUCGUGGGAGUGUUCGUAAGGAGACAUGAUCAAACUAGAACAAGAUUGAAAAACAGCAAUGAGAAAGACAAAAACGAGAUUGGGAAUCUUAGUUACUAGAGCUUCCAUGAAUUGGUUCAUACCUGUGCUUUACGACUAUCCAACGAAUUGCAGCCCGUCAAGAGCAGCUCGAUUAUCUCCAACUGUUGUCAAAAAGCAAGAAAGAAUAAAUUCAAUGACAUUCGAUUCUGUUAUCAACUCUUUAUAGAACUUGCAGCUCGGUACAGAUCGCACCUGAAUUUCGGGAUCUUUCAACUUGGCCAGCACUUCAGAAACAGUGUCAUGGCAGAUUCCACAUGUGUUUUCUUGAACUUUGGAGGCAAUGGUUGUUGCAGCCUCGUGACAAAAGCUAAUCUUUCGGCACAAAUCAUCCGGUCGAAUAGCAGAAACUUGCGAGAAGAAGAGAGGAACAUAAUAGUCCACCACACUAAGGCACUGCAAAUAAAAGAAGACAAUAAUAAGCUCACCAAAAAACUUCUGAAACCGCAAAUCAAAAGUUUCAUUAUCUUUAUCUAAAAUAACCAAAUCAUACCUCUUUCUUCAUGUAAGGGACGUAAGAACACGUUUUGUGAAGGAACUCGACAAUCUCGGUCCGAGUUUCGUUAUCCUUAAGGUAUCUAAGAGCCUGACGACUAAACUGCUGGCAGAAUGUGCACAUUUGGUCCUCCAUAGCCAUUUCAGAAGCAGGAAUUCCACUUCCUGGCCCCUGAUUUUCCCCUAUCACACGCGCAAAAUCAAACAAGUGUUCACAAAUAGAUGAGAUGGUCAAUUUCUGCAAUAAGCAGCGUAUAAUUCUGCCAUCUAAGAGCAGUAAAGGAUUAUCCAUGAAUCGGACUAAGCAGUCGGCGUAUUUUCGAAAUUUACAGCUUCAGUACUUCAAAAACCCUUAAUUCUCAAAUCACGGCAACUAAUGCGAAGCAGACGACCAAAACCUAGCUGGCAGAGAAAUCGAACCGGAGAAUAGCGAUAAGCUCACCUGAGAUUCUCAAAAUCACAUCGCCGGUGGUGGAGAUUACUCUGGCGUGGCAACUCCAGCUACCAGCAGCUAACACAAGGAGAAGAAAUAGCGCAGCUCUCGGAUCCAUGGAUUGCGAAGCUUGGAACAAACCUGAAGCUAAGAAUCCAAGAAUGAAGGAAGAAUAAGGAAAUACAGGAAAUCAAUUUGGGAACAAAUUGGUUGAGAGAAACACCUAACUAGGAGCUUCGGAUCGAAUUGAGUGCUGUGGGAUUGCUUGGGUGAUGAGCUUAAGCAAAAAUCCUGAAAAAGGAAUGGCGGAUUAAAGGCAGGUGAGGCUUGAGCUUGACAGUUAAAUUGGCUUUUUCUUUUGCCAUCGUGUUUCGUAUUGGGUAAAGGGUAUUAAAGAAGUAGCGAAUAUCGGAACCAGACAUAUCACUAUUCGAACAAUUUCGACCGUGUUAAACUUCAGCCAUGCUCUAGGGACAUGCCUCACGUUUCACAUGUUUUGUGAUGCAACUUUAUCCCUCCAAUUUAAGUCGUUGAAUGUUUCAAAUGAGUGGUUCCAUAAAGUGGCACGAACAAUUGUCUUACUCUAAUAAUUCGAUAUUGACUCAAUUCGUGAACAAUACGUAACUCAAUUUUAUGUUUUAAAACCAAUCAUAAACACAAAAGUAUACAAUGACAACAUUAACAGUUGGAACCGUUUAGACAUAAAUGGAAUGAAUACGACAGAGGGAAUAUCGAUCAAAUAUUCGGCUCCGAGUCGAAACGUUGCUAAGUUUAAUUGUCUUUGCAUUAGUGAUCGAUUGAAGAAUCUCAUCAUGACUGCAACCGCCAUGGUAAUUCAGUUAGGCCGUUAUUAAGAAUAAGCUAACAUCAAGACUGGUUUAAUUUGCUGAACCAGUGGCUAUAAGCUCACACUGAGAAUGUUCGUUGAAAGUCGUAUUAAUUAAUAUGCCGUAGAUAUGGAAAAUCAGAGGAUAUAAUCAAUAUCACACAGCAACUAUUUUCGAACAUCUACGAGAAUACUAGAAGUUUGGAACUUAAUAAUGGAGAAGCUCGAUUGAACAAACACAAAAUGGAGAAUGAGUGAGUUACUUAGUGAGCUACGACAGUCGGGUAUUGUGUGAAGCUAAAGCAGCCGGUUGAUACGAUGAUGGAAUCAUAAGCAUAUUCCCAAUAGCAAGUACUGCAAGUAAAAAUGUAGGUGACGACUGACGAGAAGCACUUAACUGGUUCAAAUCGCUUUUCGAGUUAACGAACAUUGGCGGGACUUCAAAAACCCACACCACAAACAAGGCUAGCGACAGCAGGAGAGCAAAAACAAACAUAAACAAAAGGAGGACCAGAAUCAUUCCUCAGACGGAAAACGGAUCGGAACCUUGAAUCUGACAGAGGCCUUCAACUCAACAUAAUGCUUGGAAAGUUCUAAUUUCGGUUUUCCGGCCAUUAACCAUUCCUGCAAAUGUCGGAGCAUGCAAAAUUGAACAAUGGAACAACUAACUAAGAUUUCCCCUUAUGAUUUGCUGGAACAACUCUAUUCAUUUGACAGAUCGCUCCAGCAGCUUGGCUUCUGCCUCUAUCGAUCAGACGGUCAAUUGGCUACACAACACUCCAUUCGUUUCGAAACAAAAGAACCUUGCAUCUCGUACGAUUAAAUGGCAAACCAUGAUGCUUAAUUUGACCACACAGUAUAGGCUUUAAAUAUUCGUUCUGUUUCCACAGAGACUUGCAAACACGAGACAAAUGUAGACAGAGUUACAGAUACAGUAAAUUAAGAAAAUAAUGAAACCGGCUAAUCAGAUUGCCACUUAUCAGCCUCUUCAUACCAAGAGGUGAUAUAUAUUAGAAUAAAUACCCAUUGUAGAAGGAGACAUAUUGGAAUUGUCUUUAGCUGCUGCUGCUGCUUCUUCUUCUGCUUCUUCUUCUUCUUCAUCUCCGUCUUCUUCUUUAGGAGAUCCUCCAAGAAAAUAGUUAACCUUUUGAUUAGGUACGUCGCCAGAAAAAAUUUCGCCAUACCUCAAAUUCAAAGAUUUCAUUCUUUUAAAGGGGGUAUUGCUCCGAGUUAACAAUCCAAAUCAACAACUAUAUAUGGAGCAGAAGAUCAUAAAACAAAACAUGUUAGGGCUGAAAAUGAGAUAGAAAAAUGCAAUAUCAACCAUUUAACAUGAAAGAAAAGAAAAACAUAUCUCAAGGUUUUCAACAUACAGAUCCAGAACUUGUACAUCAUGCAGAAUCUUGAACAAGUUCACACACUGCUUGACCACUCCUAAUUGCUUGUCGGCAACAUUGUCACUAACUAGAGCAAAAUCUGUUGCGAAACACAUGGCCGUAACCAAGCGACUAUGUUUGCAUGAUUAAGGGAAGGAAGAUUCGAGUUGGACACGUCUUCUAUUUUACAUAAAUCACCAAUUUAAGAGUGAAAGAUUGGAGCUUGGGAGCGACUAUUUCAAGACUGGUGAACUGAAAUGAAUCAAUCUCAAAGUUAAGCAGUUUGGGUCCAAUUAAUUUCAGAACACUAGUACUCGUGCCCAUAUGAGGACUACAAUUGAUCAGCUUCAGGCUCUCUAAUCUGGGCAAAUGGCCAAAGGCAUCAUCACCCAAAUUAAGGCUGCAUUAAGUCAGAGUAAGAGAUUCAAGGAUUUGCAAACAAGACCACAAUUCACCAUAAGCCUCUUUCAAAAUAGUCGAGUCCAACUCCCGAACUUUCAGGAACCGAUGACAGGUGUAUAAUGAUCCAAAAAGAUCCUGAAAUUUGCCAUAGGUAAUACGAAUGAAUAGCUCUUGAACGCCAUGGGAAGCAGCGUAUUUAGCGAUCCUAUCCAACAUGUCUAUCCUUUGAUCUCGGGGUGUUACCGAGAAGUCGACUGCAACCCCGAUGAUGCUACUACUAUCGGAGCGGAGGGAUAGAACUCGGUCCGUGUGCUGCUCAAAACUCCGGUCAGAACGGAAGGAGUAGGAUUUGAAAAUGAGAACAUUAACAUAUUUCCAUACGGAUGUCCACCUCCUAGACAAAAUACAGGUUUGAACCAAAGAUUUGGUGUGAGGAAGCCUAGAAUGUGAUGCAAAAUAUCGUUAGGAAAAUCACUCAGUCUAUCAAUUGAUUCAAUUCUUCUGUCCUGAAUCAUCAUCGUCGACAUCUUUCUUCUUUUAUGCAGCAAAUGUAGAUAAUGAAUCAAAAGCCUUUUCCUUGCAGCGUUCGGAUCCGCCUCAGAGAAACCGCUGGUGACGUUGUUGUGAUGCAAAAUAUCGUUAAGAAGAGCAGUCAGUCUGCCCGUUCCUUCCAUUAUCUUGCUUCUUCUCAGGUCCAUGGAUGCGGCAAAAAGAGUUGAAAACCCAAAAUUAAAAGCAAAGAUUAGAUCCCUUUAGUUAGUAAUCAAUUUGUGAUAAUGAUUCGAUUUACCUUGCAGUGGAAUCAAAAGCUUUUCACUACAAAGUUGCGAUCCUCAGAGAAACCACUGCUGGUGUUGUUUGGUCGGUAGCCGAAGUAAGAUUUUGCAAAAAACAGACCAAAUUUGUACAUGACUUCCAAACUCAAUCAUCGUCCAAGUUUUGCCGUCUUUUCCCACCUUCGACGGCAGCAGCCUUAGUACAAAUCCGAACCUUCUUUGUCUUGAUUUUGCUCCCUGGCUCGGUUAUUGCUGGGAAUUUCGAAUCUGGGUCUGAUUGAGAAUACAAAACAGGAACCUAUAAUUACCAACUCAAGAUAGAUUUUCAUUUUCAGAUUAGUGGAGUCUGGCAAAUGACUAAUAAAUUGCCGCUAGCAACUUAUUUAAGGAUAUAUCUCAUCUUCACCAAUCUUCAUACAAUCAUCAAAUUGAUACAUACAUUAGAAAUAAUUAUAUCAACUAAACAAAAAAAAAUGAUAUUAAGCACGUUAUAGUAAAUCCGCCAUGGCCAUACAAUUAAUCCCAUCGAUCAUAUAUUUAGUUACACCAUAUUUGUGCACUGGUAAACGAAACAUGUCUUUUACAAUAGUUGGAUUUCAAAAUGGUUUUGGUGAAACUGACAUAUUUAUUUCAACCAUGUGUCCAUGUCUAUGUAACCAGCAAUCAUGUUUGUUUGUACAUGUAGGUUUAUAAUAGUAUGGGGGAGUAUGAAAUAGAGAGCCAUGACUUGGAAAGACCAAAACUGGUCUGGGAAAAUCCAAGUCAGACCCACAUUAAUGAAAUUGUGCUGAAAUUCCGUGUCCACCAAUUCUGGUUACCAAUUUGAAAUUACGUGGAAUCACCUUUUCUCCGCUUCCUAAAUAUAAUUGAUAGUAAAUAAUCUUGUCAGCCAUCCUAUCCAUAUGAGGAAAAGAGCAUGCCCGAACCUGAAAGCUCUGUGGUAUCGAACCCACAAAAUCCGCUUAGCAAUGUAUCAUUGCAACGUAGCAGGUAUGAUUUUAUCUUCAUCUCCUUGCCACAAAUGAACAGGAGCUUCAUUCUCUGGAGUUUGGAAAAGGGUUCUUCAGAUCCCAUUGAUCAAAUUCCCAGGUCCAACCGGCUCCUAUGUUCAAGUCGCGAUGGGUUGACUCGUAUUCUUCUCGUUGUCGCGUAUAAGAUCAUCCAUGAGUUAUGUUAAGAACAUUUUUAAAACCGGAUGAAUGAUGAGUGAUUGAAUGAUGUUGAACAAGCUAAGUGCUAGUUUGGACAAGUAAUUUAUUCGGCAUGUUGCGACAAGUCUAGAGAGAAUAUUUCCAUCCAUGAAGUAUGUCAAGAACGUUUUAAAACAUGAUGAAUGAUGAGUGAUUGAAUAAUGCGUUGGUGACAUAUAUUGAACAAGUACUAGUUUGGACAAAUAAUGCGAUGCGCUCUACAAUGCUUUUGAAUAUGAAAUAUCGGCAUAAUUUGUUGUAGGCAACGUGUUUUUACUAGUAUUCUAUUAUUGUAUGGUUAAUCUUUAGUUUUGUAGAGUUAAAUUUUUAAUUAUGUAGUUAUUCUUUUUUCUUUGCACAAGAGCAUGAAAAAUGAACAGCUUGUUCCAUUGUUUUAAGGAUAUUUCCUUCUUCAUCUAUGCUCUCAAUAUGCUUAAUUUAACUUGUUAUGUCUGAGCUGCCUCAUUUAUAAUCAACAACGCAACAACCUCAUAGAUGAAUUCUUGACUUGUACAACCAUUAACAUUUACUACUUUCGCUCCUCCGAGCAGACCAUAUACAUUUUGUACAUCUUCUUCGGUUAGCCUAAAACUCAUCCCCUCGCCAAUGACAAACGCUUUCGUUUCCAAGUCAUAUAUAUCAACAAUCCAUUUCAUGAAAUCAAUACCAAUUCUUUUGAUCUUCACUGUUGUAAUACCAUGAAAGCCGAAAUUCUCUAGGGCUUUAAGUUGCUGCUCGUUUGGGGUAUGAUCCAACAUAUUCACUAUUUUGUUUUGGCUGCACCACGUGGCUAGCUUAGUCAAUACUCGGUUAUACACAUAGGACUUACUGCUACAUGUUCCUAUCGAGUGGCUACAUGUAAGGGUGGAAAUGGUUCGAUUUUUGGUUACCCUAAUCAAUUUCCGUGGUUAACCAAAUAAAAAAAUGAAGAAAAUCCAAACCCAAAACCACACAUAUUUGGUUUGUGGUUAACCACUAAUCAUUUUUUGGUUUACGGAAUGGUUAGUGGUUAACCACAAAAUCAUUUUAUUUCAUUUUUUUGGCAAAAUUUGUAAUAAUUAUCAACAAUUUUGAGUCUUCGUCAAUAUAUCAAAUCAACAAAUAAUGUCAAACGAGUAAUGACGAGAAAUCCAUGAUUAAAUUCCCACUAUCAAACAACAAUAUACAAACAAUCAAACAAUGAAAAUAGCAAAACUACUUGCUCAAAAUCACCUAUGCCAACAAGAAACAAUAGUAUGAAAAUGAAAAUGAAAAUAAAUAACUAAUUUCAGUAGUUCACUAUUCACUUAUAGGGGAUUAAGUUUAGGGAUUUAGUCUACUUUUUAGAAAUUAUAUUUUUCAUUUUAUUAAAUUUAGUUAGUUCGGUUUUUAUUUGGUUAACUAUUCGGUUAGCUAUAUAACAACUAACCACAAAUUAGAUAAAGUUUUUAUCGCUAACCAAACCACAAACCACAAUUUGGUUAAUGGUUAACCACUAACCACAUAUUACGGUUCGGUCUGCAGUUAAAACCACUAAUUAAAAACCAAUUUCCACCCUUAACUGCACGAACAUGGUGUUCUAGCAGAACUUCAAAAAUCUUGAAAGAGUGUUACGUGCUGUAAGAUUGCGUAUUGCUAGGGGAUUCGAACUUUUCUUACGUCCCUGAGAGGAAGAGGAUGAAGUGCUGAAAUCCAUUGCAUUGGCUAAUUCGUGAUUGUAGUAGACCGAUUUGAGAAUUCUACGUAUGAGUUUCCUUUCUCUAUUUUUAUUCACAUAGUUAGAUAAAUAUUGAUAUAAAGAUAUAAUAUAGUUAGAUAAAUAAUGAUUUAGAUAAUUUACUUGUAGAACAGAAGGCAAAACGCAAUAAAACCCUACAAUAACAAAAAAAUAUAGUGUUACAGCUUAUAAACAGAGUACUGUACAAAAACAAACAAAAUAAAAAAAAAGAUGAAAUACUAAACAAAACUUUAGGCACAAACAUAACAAACAAAGUCCAAAUCUUUGAAACAAUAACUUCACACAAAACAUGCCAAUCUAUAAUGACAAACCAAAUCCAAACAACCACAAAAUGGAAACAAAAAAAUUACAAGAGAAAUCAAUUAUAUUCUUACCUGCUGUGACCGUGUCGUCGUCAUGCUUCACUUCUUCUUCAAGCUCAAAUUUCUAGUUUUUUUUUUCAUGACAAAGUUAAACUUUUCCGUAUUGAUCAGGUCAUUCUCAAAUUCUAACCAGUCUUUUCUCAAAUAAUCCAAUUUUUCUUCAUGAUUUAGAAAAUAAAAACCUUGUGAAAUUCUUUGCAAUAGUUCCUGAAAACAUCAAAAUGAUAAGUUAGACAACCCAAUAUCUUCCUUAUCAGAUCAUGCAAAAAAAUAUACGAAGCCUUAAAUUUACACUAUCUACCAACAUCACCCUAAAACAAUAUGGAGUAUAUAAAUGAUUGUUUACUCAAAACCAUUAAUCACGCAUCAUAUCAAUUAAUUGAAUGAAUAAAUUAGUACAACUCACUCGACAUAGUUCAUGAAAGAGUUGAAUGCCGGGUCCUCAGACAUCCCUUUUAUUUUAUGCUUCAUAAAUAUCUCAAGCAUGUCAUUGGAAUCGUUAGCUUUAGAUUCAGAAUAUUUUGAUGAGUGAGCUUUUAACGAUAACUCGCAUUUAUCAACUCCAACAAGCUUGAUGACAAAUUUGGAUUUGUCUUCAAGGUGAUUGUGGCAAUUGAGGACCACGAUGUUACAAUCAUAAAUGCUUAACACGGUGCAGCCCAAACAGAAUAGUGAAUCUGUUGGAUUCUCCCCCAAACGAGCAACAACUUAAAGUCCUAAAUUUUUUUGGCUUGGGUGGUAUUACAACAGUGAAGAUCAAAAGAAUUGAUACUGAUUUCAUUAUGGAUUGUGGAUAUAUAUAAAUUUUGAAAACCAAAGCGUUUGUCAUUGGAGAGGGUAUGAGUUUUAGGCCAACCGAAGAAGAUGUACAAAAUGUAUAUAGUCUGCUCGGAGGAGCGAAAGUAGUAAAUGUUAAUGGUUGUACAAGUCAAGAAUUCAUACAUAAGGUUGUUACGUUGUUGAUUUUAAAUGGGGCAGCUCAGACAGAACAAGUUAAAUUAAGCAUAUUGAGAACAUAGAUGAAAAAGGAGACGUCCUCAAAACAGUGGAACAAGUUGUUCAUUCUUCAUGCUCUCGUGCAAAGAGAAAAGAACAACUACAUAAUUAAAAAUUUAACUCUACAAAACUAAAGAUUAACCAUACAAUAAUAGAAUACUAGUAAAUACACACUGCCUACAACGAAUUAUGCCGAUAUUUCAUAUUCAAAAGCAUUGUAGAGCGCAUCGAAUUAUUUGUCCAAACUAGUACUUGUUCAAUAUAUAUCACCAAUGCAUUACUCAAUCACUCAUCAUUCAUCCUGUUUUAAAGACGUUCUUGACAUACCUCAUGGAUGGAAAUAUUCUCUCUAGACUUGUUUUUGCAACAUGCCGAAUAAAUUACUUGUCCAAACUAGCAUUUAGCUAGUUCAAUAUAUGUCACCAAACGCAUCAUUCAAUCACUCAUCAUUCAUCCAGUUUUAAAAAUAUUCUUGACAUAACUCAUGGAUGAAAAUGUUCUCUCUAAACUAUUAAUCUAACUCAUGAAUGAAAAUGUUCUCUCUAAACUAUUGAGCAUGCGAGCCGAAGCCCUUCUUACUUUCUCGUUCUUAAACAAAACAGUAUAACCAUAAAUGCAAUACAAAAUAUUACUAAUCUAAUGUGAGUCUCGUUUUCGUGGGAGUACACCGUUUUUUCUCGUGCUCGUGCCAAGAACAAUUCCUAGCGUUCUCUCCUACGAUGUUUUCCCUAAAAAAAGCAAAACCGAAAAAGAGACUACAUCGAUCUAUCAAUCAUCUAAACAUGUUCAUCUUAUUCGUUCACCAACUUUAGUUAAAAAAACUAGACAUAACAAGUAACAAAGUUAACCGAUCGAAACUAGAUCAAUCAAUUAUCUAAACAUGUUCACUUAUAUCUCCUAUAUAUCGCACAAAUGAAUGAGCGCUUACCAUAUUACUAAUGACGAUAAUCAGUGUGUUUAACUUCAAUUGUAUUUCUCGUGUAUGCAAAUGCAAGAAUGCGAUCACCUACAAACCUUUUCCAUUGGAAUGACUAGCAAUAACAAUUUUUUGGAUAUGUUAAAAAGUAAAAUUCAUUUUUGCAUAAAUCAACUGUUUUGAAAAUACAAAUUACCACAAUAUUCAUCAAAUAAAAUAAAACUUUGUCAAACUUAAUUUGGCUAUAAUCUAGCCCAAUAAGCACCCCACUCUUCAAAAAAAAAAUACAUACUUUUCAUGAUAUUAAUCAUUUAUUUCAAAAUAAACAUAGUUCAUUACAAAUUUUAGAUGAUUAUCAUGUAUAAUUCUAAUAAGGCGCCUUCUUUAGAAGGAUGAAUGCAAGACUUCGCUAAUGAUGACGAGCGAACUUGUGGGCUAUCCGUUUCUAUUUUUCCAAAUUUGAAAUAUAGUGCAAGAAGGCAUAUUACGAAGUAUUCUUCGACAGUCGGCUACCGUGGCACCAAAUCCAGAGACAUCUUGAUGAUCGACUAUCAGAGCAUUGGCCAUAAUUAAUCUGGCUAAUCCUUCUCAUACAAAUGUAAUUACUAAUUUACUCAAAUUUUCCAAUGGUGGUAUCACAAAACUAUAGUGGUUGGCAGUGAUGCUGAUGUUUUACGGAUGGGUUGCGACUUUUCUCCACCGACCAAUCCAUUUUAUAGGUCAAUUGCUUCAUUUUCCAAUCACCUUCUUCCUUGUAACAUCAAUAUAUAGUGGAUAAGAACUAGGGGUUGGGAUCGGACCGGGUCAGGCAAAGCACGAAACACUAAUUCUACAAAUUCGAGCCUUCGGAUCUGAUCCACUUUAAAGUCAAAAGACUUUCGAGACCACAUGUCUAAUUAAUUUGAAGGUAUGCAAUCGACAAUCCAAAGGUGAAAAAAAUCGAAUUAUUGAAAAACAAUAGUAUUUUACCCUGGUGACCAAUAUUUCAUGACUACAAAUUGUACAGGUUGGGAUGGCUCACGGAAGGAAUAAUUAAACUACCUUAAGGAUAAAGCAAACUUUACCUGCUCCAUUGAAGUAGUCUUGCAGUCUACGUUACCAUGUAUGUCUUUGUACAAAAUUCCCUACUUAAAUUCAUUUUACUAUGACAAGAUUAACAAGUGAUGCGAAAUUUCCCUAAUUAAUUUCUGAUAGUUUACUCUAUACUCAGUCAAUUAAUUAGGGGAAUUGUACUCAUUUUUUGUUUGGUAAAUAAAGAAAUCACUCGAUUAAGUUGAAUAGUACACAUGGACGGGUGUGGGGUGACUGCCCUAGUUUGCUGUCUCAAAUAUCAGUUUGUAUACAAGUUGUCCAUGAUACUAAUCGAGCUAUUUAUAUAGGUUCGAGUCAAAAAGAUUUUAAAGGGUCGUUUGGUAUAGGAUAUCUUAAAUAUUAUAAUAUCAGGUUGUUAGAUAUUAAGUGAAAAAAUUGAUAAAAUUCAUAAUGUUAAUUUGGUGGAGGAUUUGUAUGUAUGAACCGUAAUUACAAAAGUUUACCCACCUCUUCCUUCAUUUGUCGGUGUUUGAGUAGAUCGUUCAUGUAAUUAAAGUCACGUAUGCCAAAAUAAAUCAGAAAAAGUGUGAUUUAACUAAUUUAUUAUUACUCUAGUUGAUUAACAAGAUUGAGUCAAAAGGCAGAGUUUGUUAAGCCGAGUUUUGAGAUUGUAGGCGCAACGUCACUCUCCCCACAAGCCCUACUGAGUACUGACUCUGAAGUAUAUGCACGUUUCAACUAUAACAAGUUGUUAUAUAAUUAAAUGUAUAUGGGGAGUUAUUACGACAUCGAUAUCAUAUAACCCCACAUCACCAACACAUUCACUAAUGGUAUCACAAAUUUGAUGUGUGCCCUUGUUAGAGAAAAACACAAAGGCUGGUUGUGGGUUAGUGAGGUCCGGUUUGACCUGGGUGGUCAGAUCCAAAGUGUCCGGUUCAGAGGUAUAAGGACAAUCAUAACGCUUCAACCAUAGGUGGUCAAGUUUUCACUCAAACGGGUCAUUGUUGAUGACAUGUAUAUAUAGUGAUCAAAACGGGAUUUCAUAAAAGACAAGGUAAUCACCGUCUUGAUCAUUAAACUUUCUAUAUAUUCAUACGCGAUAUUUCUCAAUCUUCCACCGUACUCAUCCAACCAACCAACUCUUCAUAUUGAACCACUUUAUUGGUCCGGUACAAGUCUAACUAGGCAGAAGAGCAAAUAAAUCAAUGGUUGUGAAAUCAUGCCAAAUCGAUUGUUUUUGGUGGCUGAGCGAAGAUUCGAUACUAAAAGAGAAAUUUUGAUAACUAAUCGAAACUCUCCUUAGCUUCCUCAUAAAUUCGUCCGGAAUAUUUUAACCAACUAGUACUAAUUAGUUAUCUGUCUUGAUACUUAAGGAUCGUAAAAUCGAGUUAGUAACCCGUCCCAAUCUAAAUAUCGAUCUUUGGGGUUGUUUAUUAUGAUCACUAAGCUAAACUACACUGAGUUUAAAUAUAUCACAACUAUUAUUCCUAUAUAUUCCUGAAAAAAACCCACAAAUGAAGUGACUCCAAUCCAUCCAUCCUCACAAAGAUGUUCGGCAGCGGACGUCGCCGGAGCAGUACCACCACCACCACCAGCAGUACUACUAACUCCGAUGAAAUUGAUAACCAUCACCAUCCAUUAAUCCUAACCGGCCCUAACCUCCAAACCGACGACGUUGACAAAUUCUACAGCCACCUCCUCUCCAGGGACUACAACGACGACGACGAAGAAAACAACCGUCACUCCUCCCCCCCGCCCCUCCUCCUCCGGCAUCGCCGUCGCUGUCCCGUUCACCUGGGAAUCCGAGCCCGGCACUCCCAAACACUCCUUCUACUCUGACCCCAUCCUCCCUCCUCUGACCCCUCCUCCGUCGUACUUCUCCACCACCGCACGCGUCAACGUCCGACACAAGGACUUCUCCUCCUCCUUCUCCUCCGCCGCCACCAGACGCCACCUUCCGCCACGUGAUCAGCUGGUGACCACCGACGUCAAACACAAUAACAACCGUCACUUCCUCCGCUCGUUGGUGAGCUUCCUCAAGAAACGCAACCCCUCCUCCUCCUCCUCUUCCGCCACGUCCGCCGCGACACACGACUAUGAGCGUCAAGCGGCGGGCGCGGGCUGUCGCAUCGCCGGCUUCCACGCUUUGCUUUGGAAGGAGCGGGCGCCGGCGCCGGCGCCCUGUAAUUAAAUUGGGUUAAUUUUUACAAUUAGUUUACUCCCGCCACGGUGUAGAUAAAGCUGUAAAAUUUUAAGUUGACGUGAUGAAAAGUUUACUGAGAUGUUUGUUGGCGGUCAUGACUCAUUUCCAACCUCCAGGUAACUGCUACUUAAAUUAAUCAUUUCCUUUUGUUAUUUUUAAUUAUCAAAAGAAAACUGUUUCAUUUAAUUUUCCCUUUUUAUAUGUGUUAAUGUUCCUCAUAUCGAAUAUUCAAUAUUCAAAUGUCAGUUAAGUACAUAUUAGUUCGGACUUAGACGGUUAUUAUUUUUAUUUUUUUUUUAAAUUUUUUUUGAUAGACGGUUAUGAUUUCAAUUUUUUUAAUAAAUUUAUGUCGAGAAUGAAUAAUCCCUUUUAAUUUAACGAUUUAACAUACCGUGUUUCAAAACAUACAAAGGAUGUGUCAAUGUAUAAUAGAUCAUCUAACAUUAAAGUUAUGUAAUUAUCAUGAUUGACAUAGGUAAAUUUGGAUUGAGGAUAACGAAUUUUAGUAAGAUGAGUUGUAUCUUGUUAUCAUUUUGUAUUGUACUUUUUAUGUUGAUGUGUAACUAUUUUUAUGUUGACGAGUCACCAGAAAAUAAAAAAUUAUAUUGAUGUUUAUUUUGUGAAAUGUGCUAAAUUUGAAGUUUCAGAUUAAUAGACACAGUUCUUCCACAUAAUAUUGGCCUAAUGUGAUGUAAUAUUAUUAGGAAAUAAGGGUGGGUACAACGCCGCUACCAUAUAAAAAACCGCUCCACAACAAUAUGAAAAAAACCGCACUGUAACCUACCUGAAAAAGAACAUCAUUUGCUAGGUUUCAUAGAAAGUGGAACGUCAAAAGGCCCAUGAGUUUGUUGACAAACAGGCCCAAUCAAUCAGCUUCAACAGAACAAAACAGAAAGCAUACAAUUCUCUCCAUAGAAUCAAAGUAUCAAGAAUUUGAUUGGCAUAUCUCAACCCUAACGGUAUAAACAAUGCACUGUGAUUAUGUUCGGAAGAAAACUUCAACUCUCCCCUUAUGGUCUUAUCAAACUAAAUUCACCAAGGAAGUAAUAUAGUGCAAUCAUUCUUUCAACCCGGCCACAUAGGAUGACUCAUAUUUUAUGUACCGUUACGAAAAACAGUACAAAAACAUAUACCGUUUAAUUUAAUUUUUAAUAAUUAAAUAAUAAACAAAAUGAUUAUUCUUGUUACGGAUCUUACAAUUUGACUGAAAUAACUGAUAGGUUUGAGCAAUAGUACAAACAUGAUGGUCUUUCCGAUCAUCCAUUCAUCCCUAGUAAAAAAAAUUAAAUUACACAAGUAAAAUCGAGAUAAAGAUACACUCAUCUAAACACUAACUAGAAAGUAUAAACCUCACAUCCCUUAAAAAUGCAUUGGAAUGUUUUUCUAUAAACCUUGUAAAACACAUUUAUUUCAUAAUACAUUUAUCGUAAAAUAUAUACUUACUUGAAUAAUACGAUUCUUGUAGUUAAUUUAGAAAUCACAAAUAAUUACAAUCAAACCCAAUUAUAUGACUCACUUUGAUAAAAAAUCGGUCAAUUUAAAACCAACUUCGAUCGGCCAACAGUUAAGGAACUCGCUUCAUAUUUGACCAAGACUGCUCGACUUUGCUAAGACAUUGGUCUACUGACCGAAAUCAAAUCAGUUUUCAACCGGUCCGACCGACUCCACUCUUGGUUAAUGGGUUAUUCCAUAAAAUCGUAAAAAUCCCAUUUUUCCUAAGGAAAAAAAAAAGAAGGAAAUUUCUUCUUCAUUCGCGUUGUUUUGCUGUGCCGGCACUGUUCUUUGCGCCACCACCACCACCAUCAUCUGCUACUCAGCUCCUGCCAUCUUCCUCCGAAAUUUCCAUACUACAAUCUAGGGUUUGAUUUUGGAAUCUCUCCCCUUUCGUCUACCGAGCUGGAUUCUCCCUGUUCAAUCUUCCGAAUCUCCAUGCGCCGCUGGUUCAGCGGGUUCGUCGAUUAGACUCCGCUACAUACCUGCAUCUCCUGCUCUCUCUUCUCCGUAGACGGCUACGUUUUGGUCAUUUCUUUGUGCCUUGUCGAUUAGGGCAACUCUGAUUUCGUUCUGGAUGGCAAUGGACGAUUUAACGGCGACGCGAUUCACGCAGUCUUCCACUUCGGCGGUGGUCUCCGAUCACUACGACGACGAUGGCGGCGUCGGGGAUUCAAGAAGGGACUCCGAGGCGGAUGCUAGUACAAGCUACGGGAAUGCGGCUACUAGCAUGGCGUAUUUGCCUCAGACUAUAGUGUUGUGCGAGCAUCGGCACGAGGCGCUUGAGGUUUCUGUGCCUAUAGGUCCUUCUGACAGUGGGGUUGUGUCCAAAUGGCGUCCCAAGGAUCGAGUAAGCUAGCCUCCCCAAUUGUACUACCUUCGUUCUGUUUAUUUCUUUCUACUGGGGAUUAGGUUAUGGUUCUAUAGCGAGGUAGUUUGAACUGUCACCAUUGACCGUAGGAAGCAUAGAACUAUCUUGGAGCCUCGUUGAAUUAAUCAAGUCUAAGGGAAACCAUCUUAGUGAUGUUUGCUGGAUGCGAAUGUGUCAAAUAUUGGACCAUGAUAAGGAAGCCCGUGAAUGUGAAUAUCACUGGACAUUGUAUGUUUAAUGGUCACGCAGCUUGUGGGUGGACUGCAAGUUCACUAGCUUGAAUGUAGCUUCUAGUCUACUAGAAUGUGACACUGGAAGCGCUCAUGUUUCAUCUCAUCAGUCAUUGUUUGUUGGAAGAAAAGAAAUCAGUAAGAUUAGGAUGAAAUAUGAAAAUUCGGUUAGUGGUAUUUGUAGACUGGUUAUUCUUAAUGUUGAUGAAGCAGUUGACUACUUUUUUUCUUACACGUUAUUUAUUCAUAGCACCCUAGGUGUGCCUAAAAAAAUCACACCUCUGGUAUGCGUGGGGCACUUCUGGAUGUUUCUUGCUGUGGCACCAUUUCAGUAAUGUUUUGCCUACUGCCCUGAGUGAAUCUUGCUGUAGGACGAAGCCAAAUAUUCACAUGUAAUUUUGACUUCUGAAUGAAGAUGUAUUACCAUUUACCACCAAGUGAGUUCCAAUAUUAUGUUGGAAUAUAAGGGAACGCUUUGAUUUCUCUAAGCAAGUUCUCUCCCUUUCUAUUUCUCGCAUGAGAUAGUAGUCAGGAGAACUUGUGAAGUUCAGUGUGCGAAUAGCUUAUCGUAAGCCUACCUUACAUUUGCACAUUGCUGAAACUUUCUUUUCAAUUGUGCUCCAUAAUUUUAUAUUUUCUAUUAGUGAUGCUCACCGACUUACAUGUCUGUGUCUGUUUUGGUUGAACUCUCACUUUUUUGUGCAGAUGAAGACCGGAUAUGUAGCUCUAGUUUUAUGUUUAAACAUUAGUGUUGAUCCACCUGAUGUAAUAAAGAUUUCACCUUGUGCGAGAAUGGAGUGCUGGAUAGGUGCAUUUUUGCUACUAAUUCUUCCUAAUACUACUACUAAUUCUUUCCUAAUACUUAUAAAUGUACCUAGCUGGCUUUUGUCUAUCAUUGGAUUCAGUUUGUCGUCUUUAUCUUAUUUCCUACUGUUUAAAUUGGCACUUCCAUUUUUUCCUCAUGCCUGUAGCAGCUUAGUUGUAGUGUUUAACUUCACCUUGCUUUUCCAAACUUAUGUUCUUCGCAUACUGUAAAUGAUAAAAGUAUAGGAAAUAAUGGACCUUCUUUUACUUCCCAACUCCACAGCAAACACAUUUUAAUAAUUUACUCAAGACUCUGGAGCAAUCUGUUUUUGUUUAUGUUUGAAGAAAAAAGCUUUUCUCAGAGUGUGAAGCGACGAGUGCUAUUUCGUAUCUAAAUGGUUUCUUUGCUUGUAGAUCCAUUUUCUAUGCAACCUACAAAAGCUCUUGAAACAAUUGGGAAAACCUUGAGUCUUCAAUAUGAAAGAUGGCAACCAAGGGUAAGAAAUUUCAUGUCUUCUGCUUUUGGUUUGAACAGUUUAUAUAUUAGUUCUAUUAUCCUCAUUCUACUUCAUUGGCUCUUCCAGGCUAGGUAUAAGGUACAACUUGAUCCUUCUGUGGAAGACGUGAAAAAACUUUGUAAUACAUGUCGCAGAAAUGCUAAAUCCGAGAGAGUUUUAUUUCAUUAUAAUGGUCAUGGUGUCCCAAAGCCAACUGCUAGUGCUGAAAUAUGGGUAUACAAUAAGGUAAUAGAUGGUAUUUAGUUUCGUAUUUCCUUUAUGAUUCAAGUUAUAUCACAUUCUAACUACAAGGACUGGGCAGAGCUAUACGCAGUACAUACCACUGCCUAUCAGUGAUCUUGAUUCGUGGUUGAAAACACCUUCUAUCUAUGUCUUCGACUGUUCUGCUGCUGGGAUGAUUGUGAAUGCCUUUGUUGAGGUAUUGUUUUUUUUCUAAACCUAGUAUUUCNNNNNNNNNNNNNNNNNNNNNNNNNNNNNNNNNNNNNNNNNNNNNNNNNNNNNNNNNNNNNNNNNNNNNNNNNNNNNNNNNNNNNNNNNNNNNNNNNNNNNNNNNNNNNNNNNNNNNNNNNNNNNNNNNNNNNNNNNNNNNNNNNNNNNNNNNNNNNNNNNNNNNNNNNNNNNNNNNNNNNNNNNNNNNNNNNNNNNNNNNNNNNNNNNNNNNNNNNNNNNNNNNNNNNNNNNNNNNNNNNNNNNNNNNNNNNNNNNNNNNNNNNNNNNNNNNNNNNNNNNNNNNNNNNNNNNNNNNNNNNNNNNNNNNNNNNNNNNNNNNNNNNNNNNNNNNNNNNNNNNNNNNNNNNNNNNNNNNNNNNNNNNNNNNNNNNNNNNNNNNNNNNNNNNNNNNNNNNNNNNNNNNNNNNNNNNNNNNNNNNNNNNNNNNNNNNNNNNNNNNNNNNNNNNNNNNNNNNNNNNNNNNNNNNNNNNNNNNNNNNNNNNNNNNNNNNNNNNNNNNNNNNNNNNNNNNNNNNNNNNNNNNNNNNNNNNNNNNNNNNNNNNNNNNNNNNNNNNNNNNNNNNNNNNNNNNNNNNNNNNNNNNNNNNNNNNNNNNNNNNNNNNNNNNNNNNNNNNNNNNNNNNNNNNNNNNNNNNNNNNNNNNNNNNNNNNNNNNNNNNNNNNNNNNNNNNNNNNNNNNNNNNNNNNNNNNNNNNNNNNNNNNNNNNNNNNNNNNNNNNNNNNNNNNNNNNNNNNNNNNNNNNNNNNNNNNNNNNNNNNNNNNNNNNNNNNNNNNNNNNNNNNNNNNNNNNNNNNNNNNNNNNNNNNNNNNNNNNNNNNNNNNNNNNNNNNNNNNNNNNNNNNNNNNNNNNNNNNNNNNNNNNNNNNNNNNNNNNNNNNNNNNNNNNNNNNNNNNNNNNNNNNNNNNNNNNNNNNNNNNNNNNNNNNNNNNNNNNNNNNNNNNNNNNNNNNNNNNNNNNNNNNNNNNNNNNNNNNNNNNNNNNNNNNNNNNNNNNNNNNNNNNNNNNNNNNNNNNNNNNNNNNNNNNNNNNNNNNNNNNNNNNNNNNNNNNNNNNNNNNNNNNNNNNNNNNNNNNNNNNNNNNNNNNNNNNNNNNNNNNNNNNNNNNNNNNNNNNNNNNNNNNNNNNNNNNNNNNNNNNNNNNNNNNNNNNNNNNNNNNNNNNNNNNNNNNNNNNNNNNNNNNNNNNNNNNNNNNNNNNNNNNNNNNNNNNNNNNNNNNNNNNNNNNNNNNNNNNNNNNNNNNNNNNNNNNNNNNNNNNNNNNNNNNNNNNNNNNNNNNNNNNNNNNNNNNNNNNNNNNNNNNNNNNNNNNNNNNNNNNNNNNNNNNNNNNNNNNNNNNNNNNNNNNNNNNNNNNNNNNNNNNNNNNNNNNNNNNNNNNNNNNNNNNNNNNNNNNNNNNNNNNNNNNNNNNNNNNNNNNNNNNNNNNNNNNNNNNNNNNNNNNNNNNNNNNNNNNNNNNNNNNNNNNNNNNNNNNNNNNNNNNNNNNNNNNNNNNNNNNNNNNNNNNNNNNNNNNNNNNNNNNNNNNNNNNNNNNNNNNNNNNNNNNNNNNNNNNNNNNNNNNNNNNNNNNNNNNNNNNNNNNNNNNNNNNNNNNNNNNNNNNNNNNNNNNNNNNNNNNNNNNNNNNNNNNNNNNNNNNNNNNNNNNNNNNNNNNNNNNNNNNNNNNNNNNNNNNNNNNNNNNNNNNNNNNNNNNNNNNNNNNNNNUUUGCCAAAGUUCUGUCUGUUAAUGGAUUUACUGUAAUAUGCUUUAAGUCAAAAGCUCUUGUCACUAACUGUUUACCUCUGAACCUCUACAGGUUCUACUUAGUCAAUGCCAUCGGUUUAAAGCUCUUGUUCUUCUUUUUUUUUUUCUUGAUAUGGGCCCCUGGGCAGUUGAUCUGGUACUUGUCGUUGAUUUUCUUAUUUGUGCAUGGAACCCAUUUCUGCCUUCCUAAAAUUUGGUCAUAACUAACAUUUUCUAACACGGUACUGGUUUGUUUUUGUCAGGCAUUGUCUGUGGGAAUAUUUCCGUAUGUGCUGAAGUUGUUGCAAACAACAACACCAGAGCUAAGGCACAUCCUUGUGUUCAUAUGGACAAAGAUUCUUGCUCUUGAUAAGGUACAUCUUGCUUGGCAUUUGGGUUACUUUAUGUUGCUGGACAUGUGAUUAUUGGAAGAUGUGUAUCNNNNNNNNNNNNNNNNNNNNNNNNNNNNNNNNNNNNNNNNNNNNNNNNNNNNNNNNNNNNNNNNNNNNNNNNNNNNNNNNNNNNNNNNNNNNNNNNNNNNNNNNNNNNNNNNNNNNNNNNNNNNNNNNNNNNNNNNNNNNNNNNNNNNNNNNNNNNNNNNNNNNNNNNNNNNNNNNNNNNNNNNNNNNNNNNNNNNNNNNNNNNNNNNNNNNNNNNNNNNNNNNNNNNNNNNNNNNNNNNNNNNNNNNNNNNNNNNNNNNNNNNNNNNNNNNNNNNNNNNNNNNNNNNNNNNNNNNNNNNNNNNNNNNNNNNNNNNNNNNNNNNNNNNNNNNNNNNNNNNNNNNNNNNNNNNNNNNNNNNNNNNNNNNNNNNNNNNNNNNNNNNNNNNNNNNNNNNNNNNNNNNNNNNNNNNNNNNNNNNNNNNNNNNNNNNNNNNNNNNNNNNNNNNNNNNNNNNNNNNNNNNNNNNNNNNNNNNNNNNNNNNNNNNNNNNNNNNNNNNNNNNNNNNNNNNNNNNNNNNNNNNNNNNNNNNNNNNNNNNNNNNNNNNNNNNNNNNNNNNNNNNNNNNNNNNNNNNNNNNNNNNNNNNNNNNNNNNNNNNNNNNNNNNNNNNNNNNNNNNNNNNNNNNNNNNNNNNNNNNNNNNNNNNNNNNNNNNNNNNNNNNNNNNNNNNNNNNNNNNNNNNNNNNNNNNNNNNNNNNNNNNNNNNNNNNNNNNNNNNNNNNNNNNNNNNNNNNNNNNNNNNNNNNNNNNNNNNNNNNNNNNNNNNNNNNNNNNNNNNNNNNNNNNNNNNNNNNNNNNNNNNNNNNNNNNNNNNNNNNNNNNNNNNNNNNNNNNNNNNNNNNNNNNNNNNNNNNNNNNNNNNNNNNNNNNNNNNNNNNNNNNNNNNNNNNNNNNNNNNNNNNNNNNNNNNNNNNNNNNNNNNNNNNNNNNNNNNNNNNNNNNNNNNNNNNNNNNNNNNNNNNNNNNNNNNNNNNNNNNNNNNNNNNNNNNNNNNNNNNNNNNNNNNNNNNNNNNNNNNNNNNNNNNNNNNNNNNNNNNNNNNNNNNNNNNNNNNNNNNNNNNNNNNNNNNNNNNNNNNNNNNNNNNNNNNNNNNNNNNNNNNNNNNNNNNNNNNNNNNNNNNNNNNNNNNNNNNNNNNNNNNNNNNNNNNNNNNNNNNNNNNNNNNNNNNNNNNNNNNNNNNNNNNNNNNNNNNNNNNNNNNNNNNNNNNNNNNNNNNNNNNNNNNNNNNNNNNNNNNNNNNNNNNNNNNNNNNNNNNNNNNNNNNNNNNNNNNNNNNNNNNNNNNNNNNNNNNNNNNNNNNNNNNNNNNNNNNNNNNNNNNNNNNNNNNNNNNNNNNNNNNNNNNNNNNNNNNNNNNNNNNNNNNNNNNNNNNNNNNNNNNNNNNNNNNNNNNNNNNNNNNNNNNNNNNNNNNNNNNNNNNNNNNNNNNNNNNNNNNNNNNNNNNNNNNNNNNNNNNNNNNNNNNNNNNNNNNNNNNNNNNNNNNNNNNNNNNNNNNNNNNNNNNNNNNNNNNNNNNNNNNNNNNNNNNNNNNNNNNNNNNNNNNNNNNNNNNNNNNNNNNNNNNNNNNNNNNNNNNNNNNNNNNNNNNNNNNNNNNNNNNNNNNNNNNNNNNNNNNNNNNNNNNNNNNNNNNNNNNNNNNNNNNNNNNNNNNNNNNNNNNNNNNNNNNNNNNNNNNNNNNNNNNNCCCUUCUGGAUUGGCUGCCCCCCCUGGGGAUUCAAGUGGGGCUUCUGGUUUCUCAGAACAGAGUCUUCUCCCUCAAUCAACAAUCUACAACUGGAGUGCUGGUCAUUUUUCCAAGUCGCUUCUUACUGCCACUGAUGAUACCGAAGAGAUAGUUAUUAGACGAGAAGAGAGGGAGAAGUUUGGCUUGGAACACAUUGCAAAAUGCCAGCACACUUGUGGGUUUUUUUGCACUUUUUAAGAUGUCUAUUAUUUGACAAUGUUCAUGUUUGCUUGCGGUAAUAAAAAAUUAUUCUUAUUACAGCUGUUGGCAAGCUUAAUAACCAAAUUGCUGGAUGGGAUACAAAGUUUGAAGGUGGCACGAGGGCGACUUUGCUGCAUCCUUUUUCUCCUAUUGUAGUUGCUGCAGAUAAUAAUGAACGAAUCAGGUAUAACACUUUAUCCUCUUCUUUGGUGGGGAAAACCGAUUUGUUAAGUCCCGGUUCAGAUGCAUUAUUUUCAUGUAAUAGUUCUAUACGUCCAUUCUUUGUACACUAUUUGGGUACCUUUUUUAUGCUUAUGGCUUCCUUACGUUGACUCUUAGCUACUUGAUCUUUUCAGGGUGUGGAACUAUGAAGAAGCUACGCUUCUCAAUGGGUUUAAUAAUCAUGAUUUUCCUGACAAAGGAAUUUCUAAGCUGUGCCUUGUGAAUGAGCUUGAUGACAGCUUGCUUCUUGUUGCUUCCUGUAUGUAACUAUGCUUUUUAUCGUUAUUUUGCCAUGUUGGUUUGAUCUUAACUUAUUCAAAUUUGUAUUUUCAGGCGAUGGUAACAUUCGGAUUUGGAAAGAUUACUGUGUAAAAGGGAAGCAAAAAAUUGUUACUGCAUUCUCUUCUAUCCAAGGCCAUAAACCGGCCGCACGUAGUUUGAAUGCUAUUGUUGAUUGGCAGCAACAGUCUGGCCAUCUAGUACUACUUCGAAACUCUCUGAUGAUAUGAUUAUGGUUUGCGUACUAUUUUAGACAGUGCUUUACAUGAUUUCAUUUGCUACUGCAUGAACAGUAUGCUUCCGGUGAGGAAUCCACUGUAAUGCUUUGGGAUUUGGAGAAAGAACAGCUUGUCAAUUCCAUUCCAACAUCAUCGGAUUGUAGAGUUUCAUCACUGGUUAGUUAUCUUCUGAGGUCACUGGAGUCAUGCUCAACUUUCAUAGUUUCCCUGUUUCUUGAACAACUAUUUUGAUUGAUGAAUUUUAAUGUUGUCUUGAAUAUGUUGGAUAAUCAUUACAGAGGGUACUUAUCUCCAGGAAUUAGAGAAAUACCUUCCUAGUGUGUAAAGCUCCAUCUUGUCCUUUUUGUUGUUUUACUAGACAUAUCUCUUCAAACUGAUUGUCCAGCAAGAUGUUUUCUACACAGAAUCAGAAGAUGUUAUCUUGCUCAUGUUUUGAUGUGUAGAAAACUUCUUGCUCGACAAUCGGUUUGAAGAGAACAUAAUUUGUGAAACAACAAGGAGAAAUAUUCUUUCCUUUCCAGACUGUUUAGAAGAGAAAUAUCUAAGAAAUAUCCGACCAAUGAAUUAUUGCUCAGGAGUUUUCUGCAAUUUGUUAUAUAGUACAACACAAAGCCAAUGCAAAACAUGUUAAUAGCGUUUGAUGUUCUUGUUCUUUAUUACUGAAUCUAAGUUCAUUUCGGCCACUCUAUGCAGUCUGCUUCUCAAGUUCAUGGAGGUCAGUUUGCAGCGGGCUUUGUGGAUGGUUCAGUAAGAUUAUAUGAUGUGAGGACACCUGAAACGUAAGUUCUUUGAGAGCGAGUUAGCAAUUUCGUGAUAUAAUAUGACAGCCAUGGCUUUUGUUUCAUUUUGUUUUAAACACCUAUUGAUUGGUUGGUAUUUCAGGCCUGUCUGUACAAUGCGACCACACACCCAAAAGGUCGAACGAGUCAUGGGUAUUGGGUUUCAACCAGGACUUGAUCCAGGAAAGGUAACGAAUUCGGCGAUUUCUCUUUACGCAAUCCUAUCUGUUGUAGUUCGUCUAAUUCUACUUCUCCUUGUGUAUGUAGAUCGUGAGUGCAUCUCAGGCCGGUGAUAUUCAAUUCUUGGACAUCAGAAAUCAAAGAGAUGCCUACCUAACAAUCAACGCCCACAGAGGCUCACUGGCUGCAUUAUCUGUUCAUAGGCACGCUCCCAUUAUCGCCAGUGGCUCGGCAAAACAGAUCAUUAAAGUAUUCAGUCUCGAGGGCGCACUUAUUGGGACCAUCCGGUAUUACUCUACCUUCAUGGCCCAGAAGAUUGGUCCUGUGGGUUGCCUUGAUUUCCAUCCUUACCAACCUUUGCUUGCAUCUGGUGCCGCUGAUGCUUACGUAUCUAUCUGGGCUGAUGAUAACACCCGAGCAAGGUGAAAUGUGCAGUUAUUUAACGUUCCAUCAACUGCAUGAAAUCCCGGCACUCGAAAUCCAACCACCAGAAGGGAAACUCGGCUCCGUAAUGCGAAAUCGAACAAAAAUGCCUUGUGCUGUUGAGCAAACGAGGCAAACCGAUUUCGUCAGCCUCAAUGUACAGUGAAAGCCUAGGUUUUGAGGAGAUGCGUUUUGUUACAUAUUCAUUUGACUAAAAAAUAAAUCAUUUGUUAGGGUAAAUGCUGUGUAUAUAAGCCUCUAAAUUUGGUCUCGCCGAGUUGUGUUCAUUUCGAAGGUGACGUUGCUGUUUGCAGUAGAUGUUGAUAGAGUUUGCUAAAUGCCGAAAGGCUGAUCAUUUGGUCCCUUGAAAAUCAGGGGAGUUUGGGGAAAAGACUUAUAAAUUUCAUUUCUAUGUUCUCAAAUGUUACCCUUGUUGUAAUUAAAUCUUAGAUUGGAAGAUCACCCUCCAAUCUGUGUCUAAUAGGACGUAUCUCGUCGAGGACAUAUUAUCUGUCCUGGUCUCAUGACGGUUCCAACUGCGUAAAAUAAGUUCUUGAGCACCAAACAAUGCUUAAUGACUUAUGUAGGGAGAAGGAUCACAUAGUCCAUUGAAUUGUUCACAUGAAUUUCAGUUGAUUGAUCGAGCCGGACUUGUAUAUAUUGCCACAUCCGUCUCACUAUUAUGUAUUUAUGUUGCGGUUUCUCGGGUUUUCACCAUACCUGGCUGUCAACAUUUGGUAAACUUCACCGUCGUAAUCAUUCUAUAUGUAUGCUUAUACUUGUGAAUACAUGUUAAAAGCUACACCAGAUCUUCUCCAUAUAUGAAUCGGAAUGUCAUAUUCAGUAAAGAGAGAUGAGCCAGAAAGGGACUGAAUAUUUGAUAGAAUACACAAGAACUGAAUAUAAUUACCAAAAGAAAACUGCAAAUCCGAGCUCUAUAUCUUCAAACAGCAAAAGCUUUCACUUCCUACCACCUACCAUACUUUGCCCAGAAGAACUCGACAUACUCGGAGCCGUACCGCCAUUCACCUUGAACUUUCCUUCUGCAUUUCCAAGAACGUUCAGGUCCUCGAACAGCCUGUACGAGGGCACAUACGGCUUCGAUGCAGCGGGUUGCGAAGAUGGAGCUCUUGCCCCGAAACCCACUAACGGGUCUCCAUUCAUAGCCGUUCCGUUGCUUCCGUUUGAAGACUUGCCAUAAUUCUGCUGCUGCAUGGGUGAAGCUGCUGCUGUUCUAUGUGGAAAUGACGUGGCAACGCUAGAAAACGUACUGUUAGCUGGAGAGUAACUUUGGCUGCUACUACCGUUGGCAUAACCUGGAGUCACUGCCCAUGGCGGUGGUGGAUAAGCUGAAGUGUAUUGAGGAUACUGAUACUGUUGCUGUGGUUGAAACUGCUGCUGUAAUUGUGGUUCAAACUGAGGCCGGAACUGCCGUUGGUGAUAGUGCAGAGGUUGUGGCUGAGGUUGUGGCUGAGGUUGUGGCUGAGGUUGAGGCUGGGCCCAUGGAACGACGUAGCUGUCGAAGGGUGCUGGUGCGGGACCUUGGCUUCCGGGAUAAGCUUGGGCGCCGGAGGAAACGGGUAUCUGAGGCAAACUUUGUUCCGCGGUUGAUGCUGCUGGAUGAUGAGGUGUAUUGGGUUGGGGAGAAGUCCAGUCGGUUGACAAGGUGAUACUUAAAAGGUCGAUGAUGUCCUGCUCUUGUGUGUUCUUAACUGGUUCGACGAUCGCUAGAGCAUUCGAUGUGGCGGAGAAUGAAGAUUCAGCAUCAGGGGAGGUUUGUCCGGUCUCGAUGGGUACAAGGGCUCCAGUGAAUUCACUGCUAUGUGUUGGACUAGGCUGGCUCUUGGUAUGCCUGUAUCCAGAAAAAGGAAACAAGAAUUAAACUGAACUGCUAAAUUUAGGUUCCACUUCAACGAAAUCAUUCAUUUAGCUCAUUACCUGCGAGCUAGUUUGACAAAGUCAUCCUCCUCUUCUUCAUCAUCUUCAUUAGCCUGAUUUGUUGACAGAGUAGUUCUUGUCGUGAUUGGUUCAGUGCCGGGGCUAGGAGGACUGUUCUUUACUUCAGGUGGUUUGGUGCGUGAAGAAGAUCCUUCUAGUUGCUUAGGACUUGAAUCCGAAACCGGAGAGGGGAUAGGCAAACCCGAAGCUAUAGCAUCGUGUUUUGCCAGAAAAAUUUGCAGGUUGUCGUUUAAUUCAAGGCCGCGAACAAGGACUUCCUCAUCCCUGCCAGAGCGAUGGAACCAAUUAGAAUAUACAGAACAUACACAUCUUAACGCUUCAUAUCCGAGAAAACGAAAAAUGAUGUUGAGGAAUCGAAAACCAACCCGGUGGUAGUGAGCAUCUGCACCAAUUUCUUCUGGUUGGAUCGACAAUGUUCAACAAGGUCAACUAUAACCUCCUCUUUUACAGCCUGGAAGAGCAGCAUCGCAUUUUAAAAGACAUAAAUGAUAUAUUUUGCCAAGAAGUAAUAAGUAUCGGGUAAGAUAUACCUCUCGAUCGCCGGGGCUAACAGCUUGCAACAUGUCACCCAAAAGCUCCAUUACGUUGCGCAUGGAUUCUAGGCUUGACAAACUAUAUAUAACAACAAACGGAAAUGAAGAGGAAUACCUAAAGAUAUGGGAAACGUGAAGCGACAAUUCUAGAGUGAACUCUCACCUUAACCCUUCAAUCUCGGUAGCCAUGGUUUCAUCAAGUCUUCUGGACGAACCUCCCGGCAUUCCAUAUCCAGGUUCAGCAGGUCUCAAUGUCGAAUGGGUUAGUGGUGGAGUAAAUAUUGGAGCAGCAUUCAAAGCACGCUGGGGAAACGGUACUCCAGAACGCUGUCAUGUCAUCCACACAAUUGAGUUUAUUGAGUUAUGCGUAUAUAUCCAGUUAUCACAGUUAGUUAUAUAGACCUAGUAGAUUGCGGAGCAAGCACUGAUACUAUGAGCACCCUAAGCACAUCAACAGUAUUACAGGCCAGUCGCAUUGGUAUCAAAUAGGACUAAGGAGAAGCAAUAGUGUACAAAAAUUAGCAGGAAUAAAGACGAUUAUGUUGCAACGUUAACAUUUUGAUCAAGAUCAUACCCGCAACUCCUCGUAAGACCAGUAGUACUGAGGAUAUUUUCCUCCAGGCCCACCGAAAGCCUCUUGCCAGGAGUCUAGCAGAACCAGGACUUUGUCCCUCACUUGCAUGUCUGUCUGCAAAACCACCCCAUAGAGGAAGUAAACUCACUGGCAGUGAAUAUCAAUCAGUAACAGUUCUAUAUAUCAAUUAAGGCAGCAUGUCAAUUAUACUAGCUCAAACUUCAGCGCAGGAUUAAUAAGUAACACCAAUGGCUACCUUUUUCUUCACGAUCUUCACCAUCUCACCCAAUAUAUUCUUCUCCGCAAUCUGGAAAUGGACGAAAUCGCCACAAUUCUUCACCAUCGUCUCCAAUAACUGCAGGGGAAAUUGAUCAGGUUACAACUCUCUCCACAGACCAGCUAGAUGAUGAUGAUGGAUAAAUCAAAGCAAAGUUCCACACUUCCACAGCUCAUAGCUGAGAAUUUCAGUAUACCGUUAAAGCAAGAAAUUGAACUCUGGGGUUCUUAUGCUGCAAUCGCUUCUUCACCGCUUUCACUACAUCUUUCGCCAGCCUGAACACACCCAAAAUCACAGUUCGAAUAAAUUAAUGGACAAAAACAACUCGGAUAAUCGACAGAGUCAAAUACACAAAAUAAUCAGUCUCCUCCGUACACAACAAUCAAACAACGGUGAAAAAAAACUAUCCACCGCAGUAACAGAUGAACAUAUCAAAAUAGACCGCAAUUUCGAACAGAAUCUCACGUUUUCGAUGAAAAAAAAUAAACCCAGCUCGUGUGAAUCAGUAACGAACCGAAAGCUCCAUCCGUACACAGAAAGUCAACUCCAGAGAAGAUUGAAAAAAGGAUAAACAGAACGUAAGAAGCGACUAUACCAGUGAUUAGAGUUGAUGGAAUCGCAGAUGUCGAUAUUCAUGGUCCAGUCAGGCGUGAUGAGGAGGUCGCUGGUGGCUUUGUCCACCGCCACCGUAGCGGAAGACGAUGAAGCCAUCGCCACUCGUUAUGAGAGAAGAAUCAACACAAGAGAAAGGAAAAAACUGAUAAAUAAACUCCGCCAACAGGUGUUUGUUUGGCGAGAAAGUCGAUGAAAAGGGUCGGUGGUGACGACGAUUACGAACACGACACGGCCGAAUCCUAAUUACUCUGUAAACCCAACAGAAAAAAUCACAAAUUUCUUCAUCUAAUCGUGUUCUUCGUCAGUAAAGUUGGAUUAUUUCAUCUCUUUUUGAGUUUUUUCCUCUCUGUUUCCUUCAGUUUCCCGGAAAACCAGUUUGAGUUUUUCCUAUUCAGUUUCUCGCCCACUAAUUUCUAUGCUUUUUCCCGGAUCAGCAUGCUUCACUCAGCUCUUACACUCCACGCGCUAUGCUAGCGUAUAGCUGACACAAGUUAAAAGAUAAACAACACGUGGCGGUCCCGGCGAGUUUGGGAGAGUAAGAGUGUGGGGAAUAUUCUUGGAUUGGUUACUUUUUCUGUAACAGCUUCUGGCCACUCCAUAGCCCAAGAGAAGGGGAAAAAAGUUAAUUUGUAAUAAAAGGGGAGGAGGUAGAGAAAAAACGUGUGAGGUUAGAAGAAUGGUUGGUGUUUUCGAAACCUUUCGGUCUUGUUCGGUUAGAUUUUGGUCUGUUUAUCAAGAUGGUUUAGUAUACGGUUCAAUUAUAAUGGUUUAAGCAGUUGAACUACAUGAUAUUAGAUCGCUAGUUUGAUGUGUUUAAAUAUGAUUUUGAAAACAAUGGGAAUAGUUAUAAACAUGAAAUCAUAUUCACUAUACCAUGGGAUGAAAAGUCAUCAUUAGGAUUAAAAUGGACAAAAUAACUUGUAUAGAAAUCAUUGUUGAUACAUCUAUUUAAUACCCCAACCUGGUGUGUAUAAACCUUAAAUGGAAGUAGCUUGCUGCUACACAAUAAUGAAAAUUAAUGAAUUCAUUUUGAUUUUGACUUGUUGGAAUGAAUUUAAUGAACCAGCAAUUGUCAACUUCAAAAAUAGACAAAUAAGACCAAAUAUUCAUACAAGAUACCAACGGUUCGACCAAUCUGCAUGGUUUGAUGAGGACGGAACCAUGUAGGAAGGGAAAGUUUUAAUUGUGCAUGGCAGUUGAUACAUCAGUCGUCAGGGGAGGAUCACGAGCAUUUUGCCGUUGUGAAUCAUAUGAUGAGAAAAUGAGGUGAGCGUUGGAGUUUGAGUUUAUUCAUAUUUAUCGUGGAAGUAAUCAUACAUGUAAUAGGUGACUUUGCUGGCAUUGGACACGAGAUGCCUCUUUGUGUUUAUUAUUCUUAUUUCGAAUCAUAUUUUGAUUUAUCAGUGACUAUAAUAUAUCUUGUGUUUUAAAUAAUAAAAUAAUUAUAAAUAAAGAUUAGAUAUACUGCACCAAUAUCCAAUUAAAAGAAGUGAAGUGCUAAAAAGCUAAAAUUUAGCACCAUAGCCCAAAAGAAGGGGGAAAUUAAUUUGGAAUAAAAGAAUCAUAUAAGGGGAGGAAGGAGAGAAAAAA